UCUUUAUGUCUUUGGAGAGAGAUUCAUGGGACUGUGUCUGAUCAGGGGCAUGCAGCAACAGAUCAUCCAGUAUGGAUGAGAGUUUCUGGAGUUUUGAAUGCAGCACUUAGGGAUGGCAAUACCCCCCGAACCCGCGGGUAUCCACCCCGCCCCUACCCGCUUGAGGCAGAUUUUUAGCGGGGCAGGGCGGGGUCGGGUUUAGGUAAUACCUGCCCCGCUAUAUAUAUAAUAUAUAUAAUUUUAAUAUAUAAUAUGUAUAAUAUAUGUAAAAUAGUUAGUAAAUGAUUAAUAAUAUUGUAUCAUAUUUAAAUUUUUAUUUUAAUUUAUGUUAUGUAUGUGAUGAUAGUUAUAUAAAUUUUGAAAUUUAAUUUUAUUUAUUGGAUUUUAAUAAUUAUAGGGGCGAGUAGGAGCGGGACGGGUAAUCGCAGGGACGGGUUAGGGGUCAACGUUUUACUACUCGCGGGUAGAAGCGGGGCGGAUUCUAUGCGAGUUGUUGUACGGCGGGACGGGGUCGGAUAGAACAAAAACCCGCCCCUACCCGCCCUAUUGCCACCCCUAGUAGCAUUGAGCUUUUCUUUGUCAUCCUUUCUCUCUUUUUUCUCUGAUGUGUGCAGUUGAAAAUAGUGGGUGUUUUGAGGUUGCAGUUACUAACUCUUGAGAAAUGGAAACUGUGGGAUUAGAAAGGAGGUACGUGGCAUUUGUAAUUGGACCCAUCAAACCUGAAUAAUAAAAACAAGGAAGGCCCAAUCUAAUGCUAAUUAACAAGAAGUUACAACAUUUCAUAAAAACCAAUUCACAUUGUAAUUAAAAAUGUUACAUGUUUGUCAAUUCACAUACUCUCUCAGUUUUGAUUAAUUUAUAAAUAGUCCAAAGUUUAUAAGAACAAUACGACUAUUACUAUUCCAAAUUAAAAUAUACUCUUCUUUUAUUCUUAAGUUUUCUACAUGCAAGUUUUAAUUUAUUUUUCAAACCAAUUUUAGCCUGCAUCAGUCACUAAAAAAAUCGGCGGCAUUUGAGAAGUGGCUGCGGGUUAUUGAAAAUGGUGUUGGAGAAGAAAAUGAAUAAUGCAACAUAUUUUUUUUUUUGAAAAGAUAAGAGAAUGCAUUCAUUUAGGGAAGUAAAUAAGUACAGAGGUCCUUAUUAAGGAAAAAAAAGGGAGAAAACCCAAAGAAAACACUAAACAACAACAUAAAGAAAAAAUAAGAGAGAAAUUAGGUCGCAUUAUAUUUGGUAAGGAACUCUUCAUUAAAGAAUGUUGCAUCAUUCCAAAUCAUUCCAAUGCAACAUUUGUUUUUGUUUGAUGUUUUGUGGAGAUGAAUUAUUCCGGUGAUGUGGGCUAAUUCUUGAUCUUUUGUUGGAUUGAAUUUGUUUGAUACGGUGCUUGAAAUAAAUAAAUAAUUAAUAAACCUAUUUUUGAAAUUAAUUUUUAUUAUUCAAAAUAGUAAAAAAAUAAUUGCAAUAAAAGAUUCAACAAAAUUACUUAUUAGCACGUAAUAAGCAAUCAUCAAAUAUUCAAAUGAGUGAUGCCACAUUUUUCUUUUUAAUGGGCUCUUCUGUUAUUCUUAGACAGAAUGUGUCAAUUGUUGUAUGGAAAUCUCAAUACAAAUUGUGACUUCAAUCACAUUGGACAUUGGGUAUGGUUAGAGUGCUUUGGUGUUCCUUUGCAUACGUGGUCAGCAGAAACGUUCAAGAUAAUAGAAAGCUAAUGGAGAGAAGUUAUCGUGAGUGACAAAGCCACGGAAUCAUACCUCUCAUUCAGUGUGGAACGGGUGUAAAUUGAUACCUGUAUCAUGGACAUCAUCAACGAGUGGAUUCACGUCACAAUUGGGACUAGCGAAUUUGAUGUCCUGGUUAAAGAGGUUGGUCAUAAGAGUUAUGGAAUGGAGUGCAAGCUUGCAGAGGUAGGCUAUAUUUGUAUCCCAAAAGCAUGCGAGAUGGUUGAAAGCAAUUCAAGCACCAUUGUACCGGUGGAAAGCAGAGAUCCGGUGGUUGAGUUGGUGAUGGCGAUGCCAAGAGAGGAAGAAACAGAGAAGGGCAGAGUAGUAAUUCCAGAGAAUAUUUUGAAUGAAUGGAGUAAUUGCAAUUCAAUUCAAAUUCGUGCAGCAAGAGAAACUGAUGAUUCUAAUUUAGAGAAAAAUGAUAAUUUUAUGGGAUAUAAUGAUUUGAUUAUUAAUGAUACUAAAUCAGAAAAAAUAAUUAGCUGUGAUUAUGAGAACGGUGGGUUGAAGAAAAGGCAUUCUUGAAGAAAAAAAGAAACCCAAAACAUGCUUCUUAGUAGGCCCAAUAAUGAUUUUUGUAACAGUUGUGCCAAAGGAGAGAGCUUGGGCCUCAUUUCCUUACUUGGAAGCCCAGCUCACGAUGAUGCUGCUGGAGGAGGUGGGCUGGUGAGUUCGGGUCAGGCAAGGGUGGACCGGGUUGUAGCCGCUCCAAAUCAUGUGUCAUGCACUGCGGUUCAACAACAGUUUGAAGGGGAGAUCUCUCUUCUGGACGGCGCACCUGAUCCACGCAGCAUGGGAAAGCUGAAGGCAGAGCUCCAAGCCGGCGAGCAGCGACGGGUUAGUGAAGGUGAGGAUGCCGUCGGGCCUGCAAUGGUGAAUGCUUCUCACGAGUGACAACCGUUGGGACGCCCCUUAUGGAACCAGUAUCAUCGCCUGGGUACCGCUCAUCGCUGGCAAUGACGGGGCUACGCUCUUCAAUGGAUGGUGGGCUUGACGAGGAAGCGGCGGUGAGGUGCUUCGUGCGUCGGAAAAGUGCCGCGAGCUCCCAAGAUGGUCUGAUUAGAGGUGGAGAAGACGCACUUGGAGGCUGCCCGACCUUGAAUGAUGCAGGGAUUGAUGGAGGCAGAAUCGUGACUGGGAUUGCAGUGGACAUUGGUGUUGGAAUGCCGGGAAAUAGUGAUGGAAACACGUUGGAAUAAGAGGAGCAGAUGCUGGAAAAAGGAGGACUUGGGAGUUGGCUAUUGAAUUAGGAGCCGUGCAGUACAACGACGAAGAUGAUAUCAUGGCAAUUCUUCAAGAAUAGAAUGAAACAUUUGCUCAAAAGAGGAGAUUAGCGAAGCAGAAAGAAAAGGCACGAAGAUGCAGACCCAAGAAUCUCAAAAAGGUGUGUAAAAUAAUAUUAAAAUGAUUUUUAGCUCUUAGAAUAUUAGGGAGUUACGGGGUGUUAGAAAAUUAAGUAUGGUGAAAGAAUUAAAAAAGAAGCAAAAAGUGAAUAUGUUAGGUUUGGUUGAAACUAAGAUGCAAGUUGUAACUAAGUUUGAUAUAGUACGUAUUUGGGGGAGUGAUACUGUGGGGUGGGAGUGAGUAGGGUCGGAAGGCACAUCUGGGGGUCUGUUAUUAAUGUAGGAUGACAUCAUGUUUAAAAUGAAUUAGUGUUACAAAAGGGACAGAUGGUUAUGUAUUGAAGGAGUGCUUUUAAAAAAUGAGUUCAAUUGUGCAUUUUGUUUAGUAUAUGAUGCUCUUAUUAGGAUUGAGAAACUGGCUAUGUGGGAUGAAUUGAGCUUUAUAGCUGGGUUAUGUCAAGGUCUGAUGUGCUUCAUAGGAGACUUUAAUUAGGUUAUACAGGUUGAAGAGAGGAAAAGUCAGGACAGGAUAACAGUGUUGGCAGAAGAGUUCAAGGAUUGGAUUCAAGAUAUGUAGUUAGUAGACUUACCGUUGAAUGAUAAAAAAUAUACAUGGUUUAGAGGCCGCUCCUGCAGUCGUAUUGAUAGAGUGGUCUAUUGAGUGUAGAUUGGCUUGAGAAGUUUCCGAAAACUCGAUUAAAAGGUGGAAUGAGAGGUUUGUCAGAUCACUAUCUGGUUAAAGUUGAGGACUCAAAAUUCAGCGGUGGUGUGAAUGAUUAUCCGACUUUGGGAGGCUUUGGUCUAUUCCGAGUUCAUUGAAAUAACAUUUUGAGAGUUUGACAUGAGUCGUCAGGAGGAAGGAGGAGCGAAACAAGUGGCUCAUAUGUUUCUUUGCAGCUAUUUGAAAUGUUUAGCUAGAGAAGAACGGGCGGAUCUUUAAUAACAAGUAACUCGGAGUAGAAGAGGUGUUUCACAAAAUCUUGACCAAUUACAGAGAAUGGUGUAGUUUGGAUCCCUUUUGUUGUUGAUGGCAAUGCCAGAGAUAACACUUGGGAUUGUUUUCAGGUUUUUUUUGUUGGAUAUUAGUGUUUUAAACUCUGUUUGAGACUUUGUCGCUCCACUUUAUUGUGUUGAGCUCGCAAAUUCAAAAAAAAAAAAAGAAAAAAAAGAUAUCAAAACAUUGAUGUAGAGAAAGGAACAAUUAAUUAUUUAUUUUAGUUUAAAAAUUUGAAAAACCAGCAAGUAAUGCAAAUCUACAAACCUCAAUAGUUAUUGUUUUUAUUGACAAAGUGACCGUGUUUACAUGCAAAAAACGAAAAAGGAAAAAAAAAAGAAAAAAAUUGAGAGAGGAAGUCCAAAACUUUUUCUCUCAUUCGUAUAAUCCAAUUCCUCUUCCUCCUUUGCAGUUUGCAAUCUGAGUCUGCAUUUCUGCAUUCAACUUCUUCAGAAGAGAAGAUGAUGGUUCUGUCUCAGAAGAUUCAUGAAGCUUUCAAGGGCACAGUAGAGAGGAUCACGAGCGCUCGAACCGUCUCAGCCUUCAAAGAGAAAGGAGUUCUCAGUGUCUCCGAGUUCGUCAUCGCCGGCGACAAUCUCGUUGCCAAAUGCCCCACUUGGUCCUGGUAAAUUUUUCCCCUUUCUUUUUUUUUUCAUCCCAAAGAUUUCAUCUUUCUUAAUUAGGGUCCAUGUUACACGAUGUUUUCGUUCCUCUAAUGGCUAUUCGUUAUUUCCAAAAUAUAUAUUUUUUUAAAUCUGCUUUCAAGCCUCAAAAUUUUACCUCUCAGAAGGAUUUCGAUCAAGUUAUAUAGGUUCGGUUCCUGUAACAAAGGGUUUGGGGUCAUAUGGGACUUUCGGGGAUGAUUUGAAUCAUGUACAUAUAUUAAGUACAAGCAAGCAUUGAAAAUUUUCAUUCAUUUGUGUUAUGGCAAUUGCUAAAGCUCAAAAUUAAGAGGUCCUUCUUUUUGUGCCCUCAUUAAUUAUUAAUGUUCUAUUUUUCCAUUGCGUAAUAGGAAUCAAAUGAGCCAAGCAAAAGGAAGCCAUAUUUGCCAGCGGAUAAACAAUUCUUAAUUACUAGGAAUGGUAAGAGUCGAGCUUGAGAUGUAUUUGUAUGUCAUACAUCUUCUUUGUUCUUGUUAUCUUCAAUCUAGUUUGAACUGUGUUAUGUUGUUCUUUCUGUCCUUAAAGUUAGAAAGUUAUGAUACCUGUAUUUCCCUGAGGUUCUCCUGAAUUUGUUAUUGUGGUCUAAACAAGUAAACUAUGGAUGUCCUCAUUAAUGCUAGUUUAUGAAGUUGCUUAACACUUGACAGUGCCUUGUUUGCGGAGAGUUGCAUCUGUUGAAGAAGAAUAUGAAGUGGUUGGAGGAGAAGUUCUACUUGAUGAUGAAGAAAAUGAUGGAUGGCUAGCAACUCAUGGAAAACCUAAAGGUAUGUAUGUUGCUGGAGGCGUUAUUCUAGGGUUGUGUUACAUCGCCUUACACAAGCUUGGGGUUAGGUUAGUCCACUACUUAAAAUAACCCCCACAAUCUUAGUGCAAUAAUGGUUUUGUAGUAUUUGCUUUUUACAAAUAUAGGCUUUUUCCAAAUUUAGUUAGUAUUAUGUUCAUUAAAUGCAAGUGGUGAGGCAACAGCAUUGUAGAUCGGUGCCAACGUCAGACUCUCAUGUCGAGCUUUUAGGCGUGNCUCUUACCAAUUUUGUCCACCCUCUCAUCAUCUAUGCUUCGAUCUGUGCUCAUUGUUGUGACCAGAUGUCGAUUCUGUGUUCCGUUGAAUUUCCUAAUUCUGCUCCUCCUUUUGAUGAAAAAGAGAAUGAAUGAUUAAGUUGCUCCAUUGGCAUACUCACAUAAGUAUAUUUGGUUGGCCAAUCAAAUCCUUUAAUAAUAUGUUUUCCACUUUGGAACUGCUCCCCUCCCCCGCCCACCUUCCACCCACCCACCAUAACCACAAAAAAAAAAACCCCUUGACGGGCUUUCCAUAUUUAAAUUAAGUUCUUACCACUUGUGAGCGAGAUACAAGCAAAUGUCCUGGUAGACAGGUAUUAAGGUCUCGGCAACUGUUUUUCCCUUGAGUCCAAUGUGGCUAGCUCACCUCCAGGGCUCUAUCCCACAAAGACCUAAGGAUUUAUCUGCAAAAUAUUAAAAUCUCCAAAAUUUCAAAUAAAUUUUCAAGCUACUAACCAGAAUUGAAAUAAUUACCAUUGAAAUUGAAAUAAAAUCCAUCCUAUGGUUGUGAGCAUGAAUUAUGCAUCUAUUUAUAAUACUUUAUACAGGACUAGCAUAACUCCCAAACUUGUGAGAGUAACAAAACAAGAGCUUCUAUUCUAUAUCAGUAUAUUGUGAUUUGGUUCUAAUCCCAUUCCCUGAUGCUCAUACCUUACACCUUAUACCUUACACCGCCCAAUUAAGACUUAACAGUUCUCUGAUCUUCAUUGCCAAAUCACCGUCCUAACAAAAUGGCUGCUGAGAAUCAAAUUAAAACAACAAAGAAAUAUCUAUGGAGUCGAUUUUAAUAAUGACUGACUUGCAUAUACUCUCUCAAACAAGAACAAAUCCCCUUCAAAUAAUAAAGAAUUCAUUCUAAAAAAUAUUCCAAAUUAAAAGAGGGUCAAAACGAUCCUUUAUCCAAGAAUCAUUUUUUCGUUCAAAACACACGACCAAAACCGGUAAAAUUAUGGUUCUAGAAGAUGAUAGCGUCGCAAUUAACUUUUACCAUGUCCGUAAAAAAAGUAGUCUAAACAAGAUCAACGUUUUGAGUAUGAUGAAGAUGUCUAAACUUGUAAAAAUCAUGCACAAGUUUUAUAGAAUUAAAAGCAACCUUAUAAUCUGAUCGAACAUUUUGAAUGUUAAAAAUUUGUUAGUUACGGUGACGCCAAAUUCAUCAAAGCUCAAUAAAAGAAAAUGAAGUUUUCUUUCACUAAUUUUGACCGAAGAUAGUUAAAGAUGAUUAUUAGUCCACUAGUAAAAACAUCAUUAUCUAACCUUAUUAUUCUCAAGAUAGCUAUUAGCUCAAACACUUUGAGCCUUAUCACAAUUUAAAAAAGAAUGGAAAAUAGACUCUGUUCUCACUUCUCACAUUAGAGUGUGGAUACUGAUUCUCUACUUUUAAUUACAGGAAAGAGUCACAUAUAAUUAUUUUAAUAUAAAAUUAAAAUAAAAAAAUUAUUGCAUAAUUUUUAAUUAUUCAUAUAACGAUUUUUAAUUAUUAACAUAUCACGUGAAGAAUUUCCCCGUUUAGUUAUACAAUAUGUGCUGCUACUGUUGUUCUAUUUCUGCCACUGCCAUUCGGAUCCUGAGAAGUAGCUUCUGCACAAGUCAACACCAACGAAAAUAUUUUUCCACAUGAGAAAUAAUUCGAAAAAAGAAGAAUAAAUUAAAAACAAAAAACAACAAUUCUAUACAAGUUCAACUUACUUUUCGUGCAGACCCCAUCAAUGGGAACCCACACAAGAUCAUUGAUGCAAAAGCACCCCUUGAUUCCACUCCCAGAGCUAGGAUCUAGUCCACAUGCCGACGUGGCAGAAUCACAAUCCUUCUGCAAUGCGCAAACCGUUUCCCUGGGCAACAACCACUGGAUCUCCAAACCGGGUUAGGGCCACCGGUUCACCGGAAGAUCCGGGUUUAAGUUCACAAAACUCGAAUAGGCACUGCAACCAACAUCCCUAACCCGAAUCUGGUAGGAGGUAGUGGACCCGCCGGUAUGGAACGUGCAACAAAGUAGUCCGUUAUUACAAACGGAGGCGGAGGCGGUGGCAUUGAUGUAGCUAUGGCAGAGGCAGGAGGAGGAGCAGUUAAGUGGCGACAUAAGAAGCGCUUGGGUGCAAUUGAGGUAAACAAUGGUGUUGGAGCUUGUGAUGUUAAAAGGGAGAGUGUUGUUGAGUUGGAUCCCUUGGCAUUAAAUAUCAUUCAUGAAAGUAAGGAUCUUGAGCUAAGAAUAAUAGAAGAAUGUCGACAAAGAAAUGAUUGGCCAAAAUGGGAAGAAGCUUUGAAGGUUGAGUUAGGCUCACUUGUAAAAUGUGAAGUCUUUGGACUUGUAGUCCGUACACCAGAAGAUGUAAAACCUGUUGGAUACAGAUGGGUAUUUGUGAGAAAACAAAAUGAGAAUAAUGAAGUUGUACGCUACAAAGCUCGACUUGUGGCACAAGGUUUUUCACAAAGGCCCGGUAUAGAUUAUGAAGAAACAUAUUCCCCUGUAGUGGAUGCAAUAAGUCAAUAACAUUGCGUUAUUUGGUCAGUUUAUCUGUAUACCAUAAACUACAUAUGCAUUUAAUGGAUGUGGUAACAGCCUAUGUAUACGGAUUAAUAGAUCGUGAUAUUUAUAUGAAAGUCCCUGAAGGACUAAAGAUGUCUAAACCAUCCAAUGAAUAUUCGCAAGGGUUAUACUCAGUUAAAUUGCAAAGAUCUUUAUAUGGUCUAAAGCAAUCUGGACGAAUGUGGUAUAAUCGUCUUACUGAGUAUAUGGCCAAAAACGGAUUCAAGAAUGAUGACAUCUGUCCAUGUGUUUUCAUAAAGAAAUAUGCAUCUGGAUUCAUUAUAAUUGUUGUGUACGUUGAUGAUUUAAAUAUCAUUGGAACCCCUGAAGAGAUUCCAACAAUUAUAAAAGCUCUAAAAGAAGAGUUUGAGAUGAAAGAUCUUGGAAAGACUAAAUUUUGUUUCGGCUUGCAGAUCGAGCAUACAAAAAAUAGGAUCUUUAUUCGUCAAACAACAUACACAGAAAAGAUUUUGAAGAGAUUUUAUAUGGAUAAGUCAUAUGCAUUAAGUACUCCAAUAAUCGUAAGGUCUUUGGAUAUGGAGAAUGAUCAAUUCCAUCCUAAAGAAGAAAAUAAAGAUAUCCUUGGUCCUAAAGCACCAUAUCUUAGUGCCAUUGGAGCGCUAAUGUAUCUUGUUAAUAACACACGACCCGAUAUAUCAUUUGUUGUGAACUUACUAACAAGGUAUAGUUCCUCUCCAACCAGAAGACAUUGGAGUGGAAUCAAACAAAUCUUUCGAUAUCUUCAUGGAACAGUUGACAUGGGAUUGUUUUAUCCAUGUGGAUCAAAGUCACAACUAGUUGGCUAUGCAGAUGCAGGAUAUUUGUCUGAUCCACACAAAGAGAAAUCUUAAACAGGAUACCUGUUUACAUAUGGUGGUACAUCUAUAUCAUAGAGGUCCACGAAACAGAUGAUUGCAGCAACAUCUUCUAAUCAUGCUGAAAUACUAGCGAUACAUGAAGCUAGUCGCGAGUGUUUUUACAACAGAUACAGAUGUAAUGAAAGAAGAAAUGCAGAUUAGUUCUGAAAAAAAAAGGAAGAAGACGAACUACAACUUAUGUAGUAAUGCCAGACAACACUACUGUCACAGAUCCUACUACAAAUCAACAAGCCAAAGACUAUUACAAAGAUAGGCUGAUAGGUGAUGGAUUGGAGAAGCUCAAUCCCAAGGAAAUUGUUGAAAUGGUGGCAGAGGAUUACGUUUUGGAUAACGAAUUAAUGGAAGCGGACUAGGAGAUACAGGCUCUCUUCAAUCCAAACCCAGUGAUCGAAAUCACGCUUGAAGAAUACGAUGAGUGGUGUAGACUAGGGGUGGCAAACGGGAAAAAACCAACCGAGCCGGCCCGCGUAACCCGCCAAAAAGGCGGGUUGGACUGAAAUUUUGAGACUGUCAAACUUAAAAAGCCCACCUAACCCGCAUCGCCAAAUCUGUGGGAUUUGGCGGGCUUCAGCAGGGCAGGGCGGGCUUCCCCAGUGGGCCAUGCAUUUUUUGUCAGAGCUUUUUUUACCAAUUUAUAUAGUGUUAUUGAUUUACAAGAGGAUGAAGAUGAUAAUUGAAGACGUUCUAAGUUAUAUUUUGGAUUCUAUUUUAUGUUUGAUUGAUUAUAAACUUGAAGAUGUUUAAUUAUAUAUUUUAGACAAUGUUUGUUUUGCUUUGGACAAUGUUGGUGUUAUUAUUUUGUUUCAAAAAACUUGGUUUAUAAUUAUGUUUAUUACAUAUUUAUGAUUAUAAAGACUUUAAUAUUCGUGAAUUUAGAAAUUAUAACUUUUUUAUGUCUUUAAAAAUUAUAAAUUUAUUAAAAUAGUUGUGAAAUUAUAUAUAUUGUUUAAUAUUUAAUGGUUUAUAAAAAAAAUUGACGGGCUGUUAGGCGGGGCGAGGCAGGACAGGCUUCCCCGUUUGCCACCCCUAGUGUAGACCAUGGAAACAAACGUUGAUUGUGAAGUCUAUGGGAAAAAGAAUCUCCUUAUAGAUAAUGGAGAGGUGAAUCAAUAGAAGGUGGAAGAAAAAAGAGAGCAUUCGGGUUAUGGAUUUGAAAGAAGAAUUUUUCUUUGUCCAUUUUUUCAGUUAUGAAGAAUAUGCUUAUGUCCUGUUUGAAGGUUCUUGGAUGAUUUCAGACCAUUAUCUCCUCAUCUAAUGAUGGAAGCCUUUGUUUAUACCUCAAGAGCUACAAGUCAAGAAAGUUGCUGUGUGGGUUAGAAUUCCCAACCUGCUAGCAGAGCUCUAUAAUAAAUAUUUCUUAUGGAAGGUUGGUGGAACUCUUAGUACUAAGCUAAGGGUAGAUAAGUUAACAUCAAUCUAAAGAGGCAAGUUUGCAUGCAUAUCCGUUGAGAUUGAUUUGAGGAACCAACUUAUUCUGUCCUUCACAGCCUUGAAAAAGGAAUUUAGGUGAGAGUAUGUGGGCUUGCAUCAAAUUUGCUUUAGAUGUAAUAGGUAUGGCCAUAAGUUUGAUUUGUGUCUGGAGAUUUUUAGAGAAGGAGUUGAAGGAAGUGAGAAGAUGUCUCCAACUAAAGAUAACCAAUGCCAGGAAGGGGAUGGUAGCUCCUCCACCCACGGCUAGCAACAACCGAAAGAAAGGGAAAGGUCGAAAAGGGAAGAUAUGGUGAUGGCGAAAAAGCAGAAAAUCAUCAUUAAUGAUCAACAAUUGUCUCAUAAUGUGGAAAAUCAACAUCACAUUAAUGCACCUACCAACAAAGAAGUCGUUACUACAAAAGAGAAAAUCCCAUUUGAGCCUUGGAUAGUGGUUAAAAAAUCCCAAAGAAGAAACAAGCAAAAAUUUUUGGGGGAAUAAUCAAGCUAAAAAAAUAUGCUAACUACCAUAUAUGAGAUUCUGAAUUAACAGGAAUUAAUUGAGGAGUAGCAAAUCAUUAAUACGGAUAAGACCAAAUCGGGUAGGAGAAUGGAAAGGGAAACUAGCUAGAACGGUUACUCUUAGCAAAACAAAAAUGCAAACCAAGGACGAAAUCAGAAGUGGGGCUAACCAAGAAUUCCACCAGCAAUACCACAAUGAGGGAAACCCAUAAAAUAAUAGAAAAAGGAAUACAAAACAACCUCAUACAAAUAAUGCAAGACAGAAUAAUGUUGAACACAUAUUAACUCCAAAUAAGAAUAUGAAGAUUGCAGCAUCUACUAAGGAAAAAAAAGUUGCUCUUCAGAAAUAUUGGGAUCAAUUUAAAAGGGUUGGAAAUCAGGUUUACCAAAGCCAUCAAAAUGAAUAUCUCAUCUCUACUAAUGCCGCCUUUGACCCCCCUCCCCCCAUCUUGUUCUCUAAUUUCUAAAAUCAUGGGAGACAGAACUAGAGAUCAAAGUUCAGAACAUGUCAAAGAUAAACCUCCUGAAUCAAGAACUAAUAGUCAAAAAGUUGUCAUGAUGGAAAAAGUCAAUUGUUUAUUAGGAGAAACUCUUCCUAAUGGGAGUGAGGGAGCUGCUGCUCCAAAAAACAACUCUAUGAAAGCUUGAGGACUUUUCUUUCGAGUUUAGGGAGUUAUUCUUACUCUUGCUAGUUACUUUACUUUUAAAAAUAAUUUUUAUGAUGAAUAUUAUCAUUUGGAACUAUAGAGGAGCUGCUUUAAAUGGGUUCAAUUCUAUUAUUUCUGAUUUAAGAUACAAAUAUAAUUUCAAGUUUUGUAUCUUACUUGAAACUCACGUCUCAGGAACUAAGGUCGAAGGCAUUGUUAAGCAUUUGGGCUUUGACUCGUGAUGCUUCAAUGAAGUGGAAGGAUUCUCUGGUGGUAUUUGGUGUCUGUGGAUAAAAGAGUUUUGGAACAUUAAACUUAUCAGUUGUCACAAACAAUUUAUCCAUAUGAAAAGUCAAUUGAGAGAACACUCGCUGGUGGAAUCUUACUACAAUUUAUGGCAUCCCUCAUGUGAGAAGUAGGAGUGCGUUAUGGACAAAUUUGAAAAAUAUUUCUUCUUCUAUUACUGGUCCCUAGUGCUUAGGCGAUGAUUUUAACUCCAUCAUCUCCCUCAAUAAUACAGAGAAUUCUUCUAAUCUCUCUAAUGAUACUAAUAGAUUCAUUUCUUGUAUGAAUAACUGCGGAUUUCAUGACCUAGGCUUUAAAGGGUCCCCUUUUACUUGGCAAAGAAAUAAUACUAAAAGACGUCUUAAUCGGUUUAUUAGUAAUUAUGCAUUUGUCAAUACUUUUUCGGAUGUAGGAGUUAAUCAUUUACCUAAACUUAAAUAUAAUCAUUUGCCCAUUCUUCUUGAUUAUCAUAUUCAUGCCAGAGAGGAUAGGGAAAGGCCUUUCUGAUUUUUAGCACCUUAGAUCCUACAUAAAGAAUAUGAUAAUAUGGUAAAAAGGUGUUGGAGCAAUGAUGUCAGUCUGGCUAGCAACAUUAAAAGCUUUACUGACACUGUCAAACUUUAGAAUAAGGAUGUUUUUAGUUAUAUUUUCAGGAAAAAACAGUGCCUUAUAUCUAGACCUGAAGGAAUCAGCAACAAAAUGUCCUUUGCCAAUAACCCUUUUCUAAGUUUCAAAAAGACCUCUGAAAAAAAUAUGAAAAAAUAGCGAUUCAAAAAGAGAGCUAUUGGCAACAAAUGUCAAGGUGCAACAUCAUCAGAUUCGGUGACAAAAAUACCAAGUAUUCCAUCAAAGAGCUAAUGGCAAAAGGUGCAAAAAUAAGGUUGCUGCUCUCAAGAAUGAUGUUGGGAAUUGGAUAGAUGAUGUGGAACAACUUAAAAAAUGGGGUGUUAAUUUUUUUAAAAGUCUUUAUUCUUUGGAAGGUAGUCCGACUCCUUUUUCUCUCACUAGGAACUUAACUAGACUUCUUGACCAACAAUAUGCAAAUAUGGGUAGAGAUAUUUCUCCCAAAAAAAAAAAAAGAUGCAGUUUUUUAUAUGGAAAGUUGGAGGCGCUAGGGAGUGAUAGUCUCCCAGCAAAAUUUCUCCAACAUUCUUGGAUGUCAUUGCUUAUUCCCUUAUUGAUUCGGUGAAAUCUAUUUUUAGAGAUCCUAGUAAUAUUGUUAUGGUAAACUAGACUCUAAUAGUUAUAAUUCCUAAAGUUCACUCCCUAGAAAAAUUUUAGAAAUUCUAGACCUAUUAGUUUAUGUAAUAUUUGUUAUGAAAUUGUCACUAAGAUUAUUACUACUAGAUUAAAAAUUUAUAUGCCUAAGCUUAUUUUUAACACACAAGCAAGCUCUGUUCUUGGUAGAAUUUGUACAGAAAAUAUUUUAAUAGCUCAAGAAGUGGUCUAUACAAUGCGCAAUAAGUCCAUAGCAAGGGCUUAUAACUAUCAAAAUAAAUCUUGAAAAGGCUUAUGACAUAUUAAAUUGGGUCUUUAUUAUGGAUAUGCUAAGAGACAUCGGAGCCCCUGAGAAUAUUAUUGAAGUGAUAGGAUAUCUCUCUACUCCUAUUAUGAAUCUUUAAGAUGCAUUUUCCAUGAUGAUUUUGAGAUUCCUCCUCUAGUAAAUCCUCCAUUAAUCAUGUGUAUGUGUCGUUUAGGAGUUUGAGGUGGACAUUCUUGCCAUUCUCCUUCUUCAUCUCUUUUUCUUUUUGUUUGGUCGUCCGACCUCUUUGCUAAGUAUCUGUCUAACCGACCUUCUCUAGCUAGCUUUUCUAUGACACUCUUUAAACCAUAACAAUCGUUGAUAGAAUGUCAAUAAAGCUUGUGAUAUUCGCAGUAUUCUGUCCGACUUCUUGCUUUUUUGUGUUUGAUUGGGCGAGGAGGUGGAAGCUUCUCAAUGUAGCAUAUCUCCUUGUAAACAUCUACAAGAGAGACUCGAAGUGGAGUAUAAUUAUGAUAUAUUCGAGAUUUUUUCGAGUUGUAUUCUUCUUUUUUCUUGGCUUCUUUCUCCUUUUUCUGAGAUAGAUAGGGCAGCUGGGCCUCGAAAGAGGCUCUCUUAGUCGGAAAUUUUCUUCCAUAUUGAUGAAUUUUUUCGUCUAUUCUUGUACUUCGUACAAGGAAGCCGGGUGUCGCUUGGAUAUGGAUUGAGAGAAUGGCCCUUUUUUAAGGCCGUUAACUAACCCCAUUAUCACUGCUUCAGUAGGUAAGUUUUGUAUUUCCAAGUAUGCUGUGUUGAAUCUUUCCAUGUAAUCCCGGAGUGGCUCUCUGACUUCUUGUUUAACCCCUAGCAAGCUUGGAGCUGCUUCACUUUAUCCUUCUGAACUGAGAAUCUAGUAAAAAAAUUCCUUGUCAGGUCAUCAAAACAAGUUACCGACUUGGGAGGUAAAUUAUCGAACCACUUCAUCACGGCUUUGGUCAAAGUUGUCAGGAAUUUUUUGCAACGAGCUGAGUCGGAGGCAUCAGCUAGGUACAUCCAACUUUUGAAGUUGUUGAGAUGGUGUCUCGAGUCGGUCGUUUCGUCAUAAAGAUUCAUGUCGAGUGUUUUAAAAUUUCUUAGUACUCUGGCCCGCAUGAUCUCCUCAACAAACGGAUCUUCACCUCCCAGAGGGCUUUCCUCUCGAUCUGCUCGAUUGUUCCGUCUUUGGAGGUCAGCCUCCAAUCUUAAGAGCUUUCCUUCCAACUCUUUUCGUCGUCGUACCUCCUUUCGCAGUUCUCGUUCUUCUUUCCAUUGUCGUUCUGCUUCCAGCUCGAGUUGCUCUAAUCGUCCACGAUGGCCAUGGACUAAGCCUAAUAUCUCUGAUGGAUGAGGAGGUUCUUCAUCUUCAGGCAGAUGGACCUCUGAUUGGAUCCAUCAUGGCUGGGGAUUCCCCGAUGUUCCUUCUUCGUGGGGAACGUGCGUUCUUUCCUGAGGUGGAGGUAUUGCGAGCGUGAGGUUAUCAUGGUGGGGCUCCGGUUCUGACUCAGAUGCCGUAUGACCAUCAUUGUAUUGAUUGUCCGCCAUUAUCAAAGGUUGAGCUCCAGGUCCCUGGCAACGACGCCAAUGUUCCAAGGGUUACCUGAAAUGGUGAUUUGGGCCCGAACGUGAGGUCCAGACUUCUUGUGAGGUAGCGUCCAAUUUGUUUUUGUACCGAGGUGCUGCUGUCCUAGUUCCUCAUGAGGAGGUGGGGGGUGGUACCUGCAAGAGAUUCUGAUGCUUAAGUUAGUAAGGGUUUUAGGUAGAUUUUUAGUAGAUUAGAACUUGAAUAUACCUGAGGGGUGUCAGUGUAUUUAUAGUAGAGUCGAUAACCACCUUUUGGAGUAGUUCUAUCUUUGUUGGUGGAUAAUCGUUCCCUUUAUCUUGGAAGUUUGUUAAAAUCUAUCUUUUAGCGGAUAUAGAAAUAGUUGGAGAGAUUUGCGGAGGCAGUUACUUAUUUGGAUAAGUAAAACUGAACCUUUUGUCGUGUCCGACCUCUUGAGAGGUUGGGUAAGUUGGGAGAGGCCAUAUUUUUGGAUGAGCCUUUUUUUUAUUGGGUCUGAUCUGGAAUAGGGUAUGAACAACACCUUACAUAUUUAACUAGACGCUGAAUAAAUAUGUUUAUGAAAAUCUACUAAUUUAGUCGAUUUUCUCAAUUAUAUAAACCAUAACCGUAAUAUAAUCUAAUGACACUAAAUUGAUAAAUUUUUAUAAAUAUAUUUGUUCAGCGUCUAAUUAAAUAUACUAGCUAAGUGUCAUGUAUGAUGUGAGUUAACGUUUCAUAUCACCAAUCGUUUACGAAAACUACUAAUUAAGUAAUUGAAGAACGAAAAUGAUUAAUUUAUAAUUUUUUUAAGGACCAAUUUGAUUGAAAAGAUAUUUCAAAGACGGAUUUGAAGAAUAAGUCAUCUUUUAAAAACUAAUUUGACUAUUAACUUUUAACAUAUUUCACUAAGAAGUGGUUCAAUGAAUCAAUGAAGCUCGAUCUUUUAGUAAAAAAUAAUAAAAAGUGGUUCAAUGAAUCAAUGAAGCUCGAUCUUCGUAUCAAAAAUAAAUAAGCAUAUAUUUUAAUUUAGAUUUUAUAAUUAUUUUUAUAAAAAAAUAUUUUAUUUUAACUAUUGAAUAAUAGAUUAUAAAAUUUAAUUUUUAUAUAUUAUAAAAAUAUUAUUUUUAUUUAAAGUGUGAUUAUUUAAAUAAAGAUUAUCACAAACAUUUUUUUUUAGAGUAGUUGCCAAAUAAAUAAUAGUAAAAAUUAAGGUCCAAUGAAUUUUAACUUUACAUGAAAGGAAAAGUAUAUGGAACCAAGAGGUUACCAACCAAAAACUAAACAAAACCACAUUAAUUUAUAUUAAUAAUUAAUUUUAAAUUUUUAAAAUUCAAAAUUUUAAAAAUUUAAAAUUAAUUAAGUAAAUCUAAUUAAAACCUAUAAAAACAACAUUUCUCUUCUUUCUCACAUUAACCUACCCACCUCCAACAAUCUCACACACAGAUCUCUCUUUUUCCGUCAGACCCUCUCCGCCUCCUCACCGCGACCCACUCCUCUUCUAUCACCGCGACCCACACCCUCCUCUCCUCCCUUUCCUCCGCCCUCUACAACUUCGUCACCCUCCGCUACCUCUCCCUCGCCCCUGACUUCCACACCUUCCCUUUUGCGUUCAAGGCAUGUUCCCUCCUCCCUUCUUCUUCUUCCAUCUCCAUCGCCCUCUCGCUACACUCCCAGGCCUUCAAAUUCGGCUUUCUUGCCGAUCCUUUCUCCCUCAACGCCUUCAUAUGCGUUUACUCCCUCCAUCGCCGCAUCCACGAUGCCCACAAGCUGUUCAACGAGAGUUCUCAUAGGGAUGUUGUCUCUUAUAAUGCCAUGGUUCAUGGGUUCGUUAAAAUUGGUGAGACUACGCGCCCGCAGAAACUGUUCGACGAAAUGCCAGAACGAGAUUCUGUGUCUUGGGGCACUAUGAUUGCCGAUUAUAGCAACGCGAAGCUGUGUUAUGAAGCCAUUGAUUUGUUUAAUGAAAUGAUUGGAUUGAGGAUUAGGCUAGAUAAUAUAGCUCUGGCAAAUGUUCUCUCAGCUUGUGCUCAAACGGGAGAGUUGGAACAGGGUAGGAUAGUGCAUGAUUACAUUACAAGGAAUGGGAUUCGGAUUGAUUCGUAUUUGGCUACUGGGUUGGUGGACCUGUAUGCAAAGUGCGACUGUCUUGAGAACGCAAGGGAUGCACAAUUAAAAGAGACUACAAACUACACAAUUACAGAAAUAUAAAAAAAAAACAUUCAUUUAAUAUGAAAAAAAAAAUCCUAAUACUUAACAAAAGAAAUAUUCAGUUAUAUUUUAGCAAAAAUAAUUAAAUAUCUAUAAAAUUUAAAAAAAAUAUGAAAUUCUUAAAGAAAUAGAGACAUUCACAUUUGCAAUACAAAAAAAUUCGAAAAAUAUAUAAAAGAACAUCCAUUUAGUAUGAAAAAAAAAACAUUCUGAUACUUAGUAGAAGAAACAUCCAUAUAUAUUAACUCGUAGAGAUUUUGGAUUCACCCAAAGGUAUUUUGGCUGAUUUUUUACUAAUACUCUUUUGUUCUCUAGCAUUGCUCUACAUGAAAUUAAGGAUUUUCACCAUAAAUAAUUCCUCAUUACAACGCCAAUAACCAAGAAGAAUAUCCUUUCAAUUAACAAUUUUCACCAUGCAUAUGCAUAAAGCAUCAUCACAUACCACUUCCUACAGCAUGCACGAAAUAGAAAACAACUAAAAGAGAUCAAACAUCAACUACCACAAAAGGAAAUAAAUAAAAAGAAGGAAAAAGAAAGAACGAUGAAUCAAUGAAUUGAAUCAUGCAUCUCAUCAAGCCGACGAGCGUAUUGUGCACGGUGGCAUCCGUCGAGGACGGCGCUGAGAUUGUAGGGGCUGACAUCAUCAGCGAGCCACUGGUCAAUGUAGAAGAAUGUCUGAGAGCAUGAUUUAUGGGGGCCAGUGGUAGUAACCUCAACAUAGUCGCAAUACCAACCAUGGUGGGAGCCAGAGCCGUCAGAGGUGAGGUUGAGGCGGCAGACCGGGGUGUCUAUGCAUGGGCCUCGGCCGGUGAAGGCAUCAAGAUUGCCGCGCUCCAGGUAGUUAUAGCCUUGGCCCAUGAUCCCCCAGGCCCGGAGGUUCGGGACCCGAACCUCGCGGGCCUUUACGUCACUGAGAGUGACAGUUAUGUUUGCGUCUGGUCCUCGCUUUAUGAUGGAUCCGGUUUUCACUUACAUCGUGUACCCACACUCCUGCUUAUACGUACGUACAUACAUACAUGUUGAUUAGAUGGAUCGGAACAUCAAUAAGAUUGUUCAUGAAGAGAGUAAAAUUAAAUUAAAGUAUAUGAAUAGAUAAAUUUAGAAGAGAGGCGUGUAUGUGUGAAAUUGAAUACUUAUAUUGGAAUCGCCACGGGCAUCUGCAGAAAGGAAGAGAGAUAGAAGAAGAAAAGAGAGGUAUUGUUUCCUCAUGGUCUUGUGUUAAUUAGCUGUAUUCAGCGACUGAUCACUCUGCUGUUAUGUUAUUUUCUUUUUGAUAGAUUCAGAUUGGAGAAGAUGGACCAUUUAUAGCAAUUAUAUACAGGGGAGACUCGUUUACCAUUCUACACAAUAAGCACUAUAUAUGUCUAUAUCAAUUUAUCAAUCAUAUAUUUUCCUUUUUUCUUUUUAAUAUUAUUGUUAUAUAUCUUUUAGAAGCUACCAUUNNNNNNNNNNNNNNNNNNNNNNNNNNNNNNNNNNNNNNNNNNNNNNNNNNNNNNNNNNNNNNNNNNNNNNNNNNNNNACCUAAACAAUUCUUUAAUAAUAGUUGUUAUUUAUGGCAUAUUUUUUGGUAAGGGAUAUUAGCAAUUUCUACAGAAUUUAAUUUUGAUUUAGUGUGAGUAUAAGAUAAUUUUAUUUUUAUUUUUUACAUGUACAUUCAAUUACGUAACGUUAGUAAAUAUAACAACCUUUUACAUUAUCCGCGUAAAUGAUUUAAAAAUACUAAUGUAAUUAGAUGACAGUAUAAAGUGUAAAACUUAGUAUAAAACUUUUUACACUGUAAGUGCAUCAAAAUUAAACUCUAAAAUUCGUUAGUCCUAUAUUUGAAGAUGAUCUUUCACAUAACUCAACUUGAAUGUCAUAUAACUAUCAAGCUAUAAGUCCAAAUCUAAUCAACAUUUCACUACAAAAACGUACAUAAUAGCUUAACAAGCUCAACAUUAAAGAGGUAACUCGCUUUUAAAAACCAUGUAAAGUGACACAUUUUGAUCUUCAUUUAACACUCAAUUUCCUAUGCAUAAAGUGCACAAGCAACUAAGCAAAAUCAUCUACAAGUUUCGCCGCACAUUUUAAGUGUGAUUUACACACAAGUAAGUAGUGACUUCUAUUUGAUUAUCAUUCUCUCUAAGUUAGUUUUUGUUGAAAAAUCUCAAUUCUUCUAUUACUGUCAACUCAAGUGGUCCUAAUUGUAACUCUUGUUAUCUUAAUGAAAUCUAUGAUUUUUUUAAAAUAGAAGUUAGGGGAAACGUAAAGAUAAGCAUUUGCUGCUAUAUAUUUCAUUAUAGAGUGACAUAGAGUUAGCUAUAUAUGUACAAAGACAGUAACCAAACCACACUAACGUGGCUGUAAUUUACAUGACAUGUACACUUGGCAACAACAGCAAGGUUUAUUCGCAAUUUGAAUACAUGCGCAACAAACCAACAAAACAAGAUAAAAGGACGGAGUGUUUAUGCAUCGGAUCCAAUGGGAAAUCAACAAUGGAGUAUGUUCCCCAGUUAUACUUGAAUAUGCUGCUACCAUUUGAAAAAAAAAAAAUAUAAGAAUGAAAGAAAAAAACCAUGGUAUGAUACUAAGGAAAAUAAAUAAAAAUCACUUACCUUAGUCAGUUGUUGCUGGAGCUACCAAGAUCAAAGUCCAUUGUGUAAUCAUACUCAAUAGUUGGAAUUACAGAGGCCAUAAACUUCAAGAAUAAGAACAGGUACCUACACAAAUACAUUACUUAUAUUUAGUUAUGCCACUCCAAGGAAUAAAAUGUGAUUAUACUAAGUCAGGCAUUGCUAAGAGGGACCAAAUCCAGAAGCGCCGUACCAAGUUCCAGUUGAAAGCUUACAUAACUCACGAAUUUGAAUAAAAACAAGUCAUUAUUUAUAGGAAUUCAAAUCGUACGGAGUGGUUGAAGUAAAAUAAACAAGCAUAAACAUACAUGUUAGAAUUCAAUAUGGCAUCUCAAGCAUAUACAGUUGCCCCUCUCUCGAGGAACAUAAUAUAAUUAACCACGGAAACUAAGAAAGGGAUGAAUGACUAUUGAACAAAAAACAGAUGCAUGCUUGACUAUAUGCUACAAACAAUCUUUAGGCAGAUUGCAUAAUCAAAUAUUCCAUCACCUGAAAGCCAGUAAUUACAUAAACAAUAAAUAAAAAAUUGUGAAGCUAAUGAGAAAACAAUAUUUGUAUGGAUGUUGUAAACAAUUACAGACAAUGUUGAUUUAGAUUUAUUAAAAGAAAAAUCCAAUUUAUAUCACCAUGUGGAAGAUUUUAUGAAAGUAAUAAUAAUUACGUUUCUAUGAAAGUAAUAAUAUCUUGGACAGAAAGGGUUUACUUGUCAACUUCUGGCUCAACCCCACGUGACAUCAAAACAUCAAUGAUUUUCUUCAUCACUGCUCCAUGUCGACAUGGAUGAAUAGAUGCAUGCUUACCAGGCAAGUGAGGGUGGUCCUCAAUUGUUACCUGUAAAUAUUUCAUGUUAGAACAAUAACGUAUUAACAUAAGUUUAGCAAACUAUAAAUUGAUAAAUAGCGGGGUUAAAAACAUAGGAAGUAUUAAGCUUAAUAAUUUUACCCUUUAAGCAUGUAACUAUGAUCUAUACCUCAAAAUGAUUCAUCCAACAAUAAACAUCGUAUUGAAUUCUGAUAAAAUAUCUUUCACAUAAACAAUUCAUGUCAUAUCUCACCGUUUUGCGAGCAUGGUCCUGACUAACAUCUUCAAGGACAAGUUCUUGUUGCAAAAGCAUCCUUGACUGCAAGAUGGAAAGAUGAGAUCAUAAACCAGUAAACUAAGUUUCCAAGGUAUAAAAAUGAAAAAAGAAUAAGGAACUGUUAUCAACCCACCCACUAAGCCCCAGUUCGGGAUAUUCACAUCAUUUAUAUCCACUACUUAAAAUAAGCAAACAUUAGUUGUCCUAGUAGGUUCAUCGUAGGCUUAUAGACCGACAAAAGUGAAUGAAUAUAUAUAUUUAAAAAAAGAUCUUGUGGAAAACAAACCUCAUCAUACCCGGUAAGCCAUACUCGAGGUGUUUGAUAAUAUUUAUCAUACCUGCAAACAAGUCAAAUAGAACUAUUCAAAUUAUUGUCUAAAGACCGUUUGUUUCAAAUACAAAAUAAGUAGUCCUUUCUAUUUGACAGAAAGAACAAGAUACAACAAAAAAAAUAGGAGAAGUACAAAUAUGUCAGGAAUAAAUAUCCUCCAACAGUUUGUUCAGGAAAAUCUUAGCACUUGUGUGAUAUGUCAGAAAAAGAUACACAGUCUUCUCUGAUAUCACAAGUAGCAGUUUGUUCAGGAACAAAAUGGCAAUCAAGAAAAGUUACACUGCAAGUUUGAAACUCAUCUUACGUGAUACUGAUGUCGUAAGUUCGGGUUCGUAGAAUAUUAUCAUCAUCAGGUUCAUGAGCCACUAGAUAUGUAGACUGAAGAGUAAACAAUGACAAAAUCACAUUUCUUAAAUCAGUACUAAACAAGUAAACAAUGAAAGUAUAGUUAAUAAAAAAUAAGUAAACUAGUGGAAAAUUAUUUAAAAUAAUAUAUUACUAUUAUAAAUUAUGCAAAUAAAAAAUAAAAAGUAUUAAAAUGAAAAAUUGAGUUAAAGCUCACAUUCAGGUUGUAAUUGCCUACAGCCUACCUAUCAUUUUAAUUCCAACAAAUAUUGCAAGGACAGACCAGCUUGAAAAGACUCUUACAACAAGCAUAGUAUGAGAAUACAGCAGUCGAUACAUAUUUCUGUUCUCUUUCAUGUGAUUCAAUAAAACUUCACUUUUCAGUCCAAAUACAGAUGUAUAACAGUUAGGAAACAACAAUCUAGCCUAGAAAGUGAUACCCAACUUACAGGAUCUGUAACAAUGUUAUCAGUUUCUUCAAACUCAGCCAUAUCCGGAAUAUCGUCUUCCUCAUCACCUCCCAUGUAGGAUGAAAUUUGCUUAACAGGUUCCUUUUUGCUGAUUUCUAGGCUUUCCAUGGAAGGUAAAUCCUCUUCCUCGUCGGAUUUGGUUUCUUGAAAAAAAUAAAUAAAAAGUAAUAAAGGUGUAAGGUAUGAGCAUCAGAGAAUGGGAUUAGAACCAAAUCACAAUAUACUGAUAUAGAAUAGAAGCUCUUGUUUUGUUACUCCCACAAGUUUGGGAGUUAUGCUAGUCCUGUAUAAAAAUGUAUUAUAAACAGAUGCAUAACUCAUGCUCACAACCAUAGGACGGAUUUUAUUUCAAUUUCAGUGGUAAUUAUUUCAAUUCUGGUUAGUAGCUUGAAAAUUUAUUUGAAAUUUUGGAGAUUUCAAUAUUUUGCAGAAAAAUCCUUAGGUCUUUGUAGGUUGGAGGUGAGCUAGCUACACUGGACUCAAGGGAAAAAAAGUUACCUGUCUACCAGGACAUUUGCUGGUAUGCCACUCACAAGUGGGAAGAACUUAAUUCAAGUAUGGAAAGCCCGUCAAGGUUUUUUUUUUUUUAAUUGUGGUUGUGGUGGGUGGGAGGAAGGGGAGCAGUUCCAAGGUAGAAAACAGAUUAUUAAAGGAUUUGAUUGGCCAACCCAAUAUGCUUAUGUGAGUAUGUCAAUGGAGCAACUUGAUCAUUCAUUCUCUUUUUCGUCAAAAGGAGGAGCAAAAUUGGGGAAUUUAACGAAACACAGAAACGACAUCUGGUCACAACAAUGAGCACAGAUCGAAACAUAGAUGACGAGGGUGGAAAAAAUUGGUAAGAGUUUGUUUUAGGAAAAGAAAGGUGGAAUUUUAUGAUUAGAUGGGGGUUGUGGCACACCCAGAAGCUCGACAUGAGAGUCUGACGUUGACAGCGAUCUGCAAUGUUGUUGCCUCACCGCUUGCAUUUAAUGAACAUAAUACUAACUAACUUUGGAUAAAGCCUAUAUUUGUAAAAAGCCAAUACUACAAAACCAUUGUUGCACUAAGAUUGUGGGGGUUAUUUUAAGUAGUGGACUAACCUAACCCCAAGCUUGUGUAAGGCAAUUUAACACAACCCUAGAAUAAUGCCUCCAGCAACAUACAUACCUUUAGGUUUUCCAUGAGUUGCUAGCCAUCCAUCAUUUUCUUCAUCAUCAAGUAGAACUUCUCCUCCAGCCGCUUCAUAUUCUUCUUCUACAGAUACAGCUCUCCGCAAACACGGCACUGUCAAGUGUUAAGCAACUUCAUAAACCAGCAUUAAUGAGGACAGCCAUAGAUAACAAAUUCAGGAGAAACCUCAGGGAAAUUCAGGUAUUAUAACUUUCUAGCUUUAAGGACAGAAAGAGCAACUUAAUACAAUUCAAACUAGACUGAAGAUAACAAGUACAAAGAAGAUGUAUGACAUACAAAUACAUCCCAAGCUCGACUCUUACCAUUCCUAGUAAUUAAUAAUUGUUUAUCCGCUGGCAAAUAUGGCUUCCUUUUGCUUGGCUCACCUGAUUCCCUAUUAUGCAAUGGGAAAACAGAACAUUAACAAUUAAUAAGGGCACAAAAAGAAUGACCUCUUAAUUUUGAGCUUUAGCAAUUGCCAUAACACAAAUGAAUGAAAAUUUCCAAUGCUUGCUAUUAGUUAAUAUACGUACAUGAUUCAAAUCAUCCCAGAAAGUCCCAUAUGACCCCAAACCCUUUGUUACAGGGACCGAAGCUAUAUAACUUGAUUGAAACCCUUCUGAGAAGUAAAAUUUUGAGGCUUGAAAGCAGAUUUAAAAAAUAUAUAUAUUUUGGAAAUAACGAAUAGCCAUUAGAGGAACAGAAACAUCGUGUAACAGGGAGCCUACUUAAGAAAGAUGAAAUCUUUGAGAUGGAAAAAAAAAGGGGGGGAAAUUUACCAGGACCAAGUGGGGCAUUUGGCAACGAGAUUGUCGCCGGCAGUGACGAACUCAGAGACACUGAGAACUCCUUUCUCUUUGAAGGCUGAGACGGUUCGAGCGCUCGUGAUCCUCUCUACUGUGCCCUUGAAAGCUUCGUGAAUCUUCUGAGACAGAACCAUCCUCUUCUCUUCUGAAGAAGUUGAAUGCAGAAAUGCAGACUCAGAUUGCAAACUACAGAGGAGGAAGAUGAAUUGGAUUAUACAAAUGAGAGAAAAAGUUUUGGACUUCCUCUCUCGUUUUUUUUCUUUUUUUUUCCUUUUUCGUUUUUUGCUUGUAAACACGGUCACCUUGUCUAUAAAAACAAUAACUAUUGGGGUUUGUGGAUUUGCAUUACUUGGUUUUUCACAUUUUUAAACUAAAAUAAAUACUUAAUUAUUCCUUUCUCUAAAUCAAUGUUUUCAUAUGUUUUUUCUAAAUUAUUACUUUAUUAGUAAAUAAAGCGAACGUAAGUUUUUUCCAACUGAGAGUGAGCUUUUUUUUGAAAGAUUACGAGUAAAUUGCAGUGAUAAUUUUAUUUUACCCAAAUCACACAUUUUCACAUGUUUUAUUCAUAUUAUUAUGUGUAAAUCAUCACUUUAACAUUAAGGCUUAAUGCAGAGGGAAACAAGUCCAGAUUUAAACUCCAAUUUUUAUCUUUUGUAUAAAUACAUAUUAAUAUGAAAUUAAUAAUUUAAUUAGNNNNNNNNNCUUUUUUAUAUUUUAUCACUAAAAAUUCACAAAAUAAUUUCUAAAUUCUAAUCUAAUAAUUAGCAACAAUACUCAUGGUUUUUUUUAUUUUAAUAAAUAAAUUAAUCAGCUUAGGUUCUAUUUCAAUUUGGUUCAUCCUUUUGUUCGAUAUUUUGUCUAUAUCUAAUUAAAUAUGAGGAAUUUGAAGUCAACAUUUCUUGGAAGUUCUAUUACACCAUCAAACUGGUGGUGGUUAAAUGAAGAAAAGUAAUAGAUGGUUAAAGAUCGUUUUGAAGAUGAAGGUAGCAUAUUGAGGCUCUAUGAAGAAACAAAUUAAUUUUAGAUUUAUUCAUGUCUUGUUCUUCUGUGCAAAUGUUGAGACUUGAAUUUUGCUAUGCUAUCUGAGGCUAGAUAUAUAGAUUAAAGUCUUUAGUUGUUGCAAACUUGAUACAAUAUAUGCUAAUAUGUUAAUCAACAUUCAUGUGAGGUUUAAGAUAAAAUUAGUAAAACUUUUGUUGCUUAUGAGUAAAUACAACAUAACAAGUUGAACUUAUUUUAUAAAUAUUUUGGACAGCUCCAUCAAAUGGAAUUUUCGUAGAGAGCUCCAUCAAAUAUUUUGCCUAGUUUGUAUGAUUAUUGAUUAAUUGUUCUGUUGUGUUUUGUGAUUUUAUAGUGAUAUGAUGCUGUUUUAUCCUUUUGUGAUUCAAUUGUGCUGUCUAUCAUUAUGUUGUAAGGUGUUUAUUUAUAAUUUAUUUAUUAUUUUAUUAUAAAACGAUUUUUCAGGUUGAACCGAUUAGACCAGUAAACCAGUGAACUAGUAGUUAGAUCGGUUCGAUAAUCGGUCCGAUUUUCAGAACCUUAAUUUUUUGUUGAGUGAAUUUGUCUGAGCUAAUUUUGCUGUGGGAUUCUGAGUUAGAGUUGAUGGUUGAUUUGAAUUAUUGUUAAUUUUGUAUUCUGAGUUGGCUUGUUGCUGAAGUGAUUCUGAAUUUAGUUUGGAUGUUGAGUUUGGAUUUUUUGUUUAGUUUUUCUGAUUUUGGAUUUUUCAAUUUUGGAUAUGUUUUUGGAUUAUGAAUUUUCGUUGUUGAAUACAUGAUGAGAAGUCUUUGUUGAAAUGUUUUAUGAUUUUGAAUUCUAUUCUCAAUAGUUUGAGUUUGUGUAAUUUUGUGUAUUCUAUUGUUGUUGAUUUUAUAUUUUUGUUACUAAUGUAAUGAGUAUUGGGAUUUUUUUAUUUUAAUAAAUAAAUUAAUUAUAAUAAUUAUUGAAAUAAAUAAUUUAAAAAAUAUUUACCAACAUAAAUACUUCUCUCUUAUCUCGUUUACAGUGUAAACGAGAUAAUUUUACAUAUAUCUCGUUUACAAAUAAGACAGGUGGACACAACACGUGUAUAUCUCGUUUACAAAUAAGACAGUGUAAACGAGAUAUAAAUAUAAUACAUUUUUAUGUACUAAUUGCAUGCUAAAAGUUUGGAUUAUUGAUAUUAAUAAUAUUUUUUAUUAUUUCAAAUUUUUUUUAAAAAAUGCAUGUAAUAUUUAUCUCGUUUAUAGAUAUACACGUAUCACAUCCACCUGUUUUAUCUCGUUUACAUACGUACAAAAUUAUCUCGUUUACAUAUUUAUUUAUCACAUAUUCUCGCACACACAUACAAAGCCUUAACUCAAAGAACAACCACAGCAAGUGACUUGGAAAGAAAAUGUAAACACCGAAACAAUCACAAGCAUAGAGAACAUGUGAAUAUUAUUAUAGCAAACAUAAUAAUAAAAUAGCUCUUCUAAUGCGUCUCCGAAAAUAUCCCAAAUCAAGAAAACUACAUAAUCUGAUCCACUUGAUUCAGAAAGCUACAUAUAUUAGAAAACUUAAGAAUCAACUAAAAUAAAAAGAAAAGGAAGGCCUGGUUGAUUCGAUUCAAUUGCCUGAGAUGAAGAAUCAAACAGGGCCGAGAAGCUGAGAGUUUAAAUGUUAAACAUAGGCAGUGCAAAUUUUAACAAAGCUCAUCACAAUGAUUAACAACAACAAAAAGAACUGAAAAAACAGUGAAUCAGUAACAUGGUCAGUGCAAAUUUAACAUUUAAAAGUUAUCAAUUUAAAAUUUAUCAUCAAAUACAAUCAGUGAGCAAAGCCAAUCAAUCAAGCACUGACUGAGCAUUCUGUUCUAGUUAUGUGACUGGGAAGCAACAAAUUCAAGUUACAGCAACAAAUUUAACAAAUCCUAGUAAAGCCCCGAUUUACAGCAAAGGGGCAAAUUUAUUGAUUACCAAUUCAGCAACAUGCAGAAAUACAGGAAAAGGGAAAUCUGGAAAAGAGAGAACACUAAACCAAAACAUUAACCAAUAAUCACAAAACACUAAACCUUCACCCAGCAAUUACAAACAAAGCCAGCAAUUACAAACAUUAGCACAUUAUAAAACAUUCCAAAACACUGAACCUUCACCCAGCAAAACCAGCAACUACAAACAAAGCCAUCAGUAAAUUUGAACAAAAAAAAUUAAGAGCCAUCAGCAACUAACAGAGCCAUCCAGCCAUCAGUAAAUUUGAAAAAAAAAAUUACAGCCAUCAGCAACCAGCAAAUACAAGACAGAUCCAUCAGCAGCAGACAAUUACAAUUUACAAAACAUUACAAGAAAAAUGGAACAAAAAUUGAACAACAAUUUCAGAACUUCAAACGAAGGAGAAGACCGAACAUUCAGAAAUUAAAAGGAAGAUGCGGAGGCGAAGAAUUGAAAGCAGGGCCACUAACCUGGGUUCCGUGCCGAGAAGGCAGCGAAGAUGAAAACGAUGUGCCGAGCUACCUGGGGAAGAGGAAGAUGAAAACGACGUGCCAGCGAAGAUGAAAACGACACGGGGAAGAGGAAGCAGCGGCGGCGCUGAGGACCUGGGGACGGCGGCGGCGAUGAAGGGCUAGGGUUUUCCUUGGCUUCAGAGGUCUCCAGGGAGAGCACAAAUGAUUGGGGGAAGAAGAGGGGGGGGGGGGUUUGGUUCACGAGUGGAUCUGCUUUUGUUUUUUUUUUUUUUUUUCAAAUAAACAAAACGGCGUCGUUUUAUUACUCACACACAUUCCUCCACGUGGAUUUUUAAAUAUUUUUUUAUUUUUCUAAAACAGUAAUGGCUCUCCUCUCUUUCUCUUAUUUUCCUUCUCAUUUUCCGUCACUUUCCUUCUCCAGUUCUCCCCAAACACUCGGCGCUGCUCUCCUUCCUUUAAAAUGAGUGCGCAGCAAACUGCUAAUACGGCCAUUGUGUGGUUCAAGCACGACCUCUGAAUCCACGAUCACCCAGCCCUCACCGUUGCUUCUAGCUUCCAACUCUGUUGCUUAGAGUUUCAUUUUUCUGUGUAAAUUUUAAGUUUAUCAUACUCUGCUUUGUUAAUCUGGUUUUGUAGUAUCUGCAUAAGCAGUUUCUAUCUUGUUGCUGUUGAUGCUUAUUGAGCUUGUUGUAGUAUCUGAAACACUAUUUCAGAUCUUAACUCCCUUCGGAGAAUGAAAUCUCACCAUGUUGAAUUGCUGAUUGCAGGUUUAAAUGCUGAAAUGCUGGAACUGCUCCUGUUCGCGCUGCAAGAUUUGAGGAACUCCUUGAAGGAACGCGGCUCCAAUCUCAUGAUUAGAUUCGGGAACGCAGAGCACGUCAUACAACAGCUUGCAUCUGAGGUUGUUACUCUUCAGUUAGUAAGUUACUUCUUUAGUUGAUUAGUUACACAGUUAGUUAACUUUUAUUGUGAGUUACUUAUUAGUUGAUUAGUUACUGAUGAUGCCCCAAUACAUGUCCGUGCAUAAUGAGAACUUUUUUUCCGCCAAAGUGCAUGAUGAGAUCUUGAAUUAAGCAUUAUCAAUUGCUUUUGUUGAACAAAUUCAUCGCCCAGGGUGGAACAGGUGAAUGCCAGUUGUGUAUUUGCAGAACAAGAGGUGGAGUAUGAAUUGUACUUGCUUUUGGAUGUUGUGAAGGAGUGUAUGAAACCUGUCACGGUUCGAGAAUGUGCUCCUAGGAUUGAAUUAUGGAACACUCCAUUUUAUGAUGUAAAUGUAGGUAUCCGAUUGAUUCUUGGCUUCUUUGGCUAUCUAAAUUGUUCAAGAGUUGAAGAAUUUAUAUGUGGUAAUUGGUGAUUACUUUUAUUAACUUGUCGAUAAUUGAUUUGGUCGUUUCUAUCACUAUCCAAUAGGUUCUGCAAAAUCUUCCUGCAUCGUACGAUGACUUUAAGAAACUUCGACUACCCAUACUGAACCACUUCAGCUGUCAAAAUUACCUGCUGCAGACAUGGAACUGGACUGGGGUGAGUUCUGUGGUGGUUGACUUUUCUUGUCACUUGGCAUGAAUCUUCUUUUGGAAGAGUAUUUGAUAUUAUAUUUUCCAUUUUUGUAAUCCAUUUAACAUCUUGCACUUGUAAAGUGGCCAAAGUCAUAUGAUAGAUUUUCAUUGAAAUAGGUACUCUUCCUGUAUAUGAUGAUGUAAAGAAUUUCAUUACCAGCAACCAAGGGAGAUUGAGAGAGAGGUGGAACUCAAUCAAGUUGACAUCAGCUGAAACCUUAUUACGGAAUAAAAUAAUGAAGUCUAGUGAGAGCAGUGAAGGAAGUUAUGACUCUAGGCAACUGCAGUCAAAGAAAUCAAAUGAAUCUGUUUUCCUGUCACAAAAAGGUAAUGCUGUAGGAGGUGGAACAAACAAUGUAUUAAAUGCCUUGGCUGCAUAUUUGAGAUAUUUCGAGGGAACAGCUCAUGAUGACUGGCAAGAGUAUGUAGUAAAAACCUGCCAUUUGUGAUUAUUUGUUGGCUAAUAUCUUCUAGGGUCUUGAGUAUGGAGUCUAGAGGUCAGUUUAAAAACACGAACAGUGAAAUGUCUUUUCACCUUUAAAUCUGUGCAGGAUACAUGAAAAAGUACGUUCUUCUGAAAGUCGGAAUGGAGCAUCAUUUAUUGCACUCUUUGGUCCUGCUCUAUCUCUUGGCAUUAUAUCUAGAAGUGUACACUAUGAAGCUAUCAAAUAUGAGAGAGAACGAAAUGCAGGAUUUAUAUCUCCCUUUGGAUAUUCAGCUACCACAAUUGCAGGAGCAGUUGAUGCUGUGUGCUCAAAGGAGGUGCUAGUUUUAGCAAUUUUGCUAUAUUAGAAUACAAUUUUUUUUCUGCCUUAUUGAUUUGGUUAUUUCUUAUUAGUUGCAACAGAAAACUUGCCUUUACCUUUCUUAUCAAAUGAUCUAUUCAUUUAAUUUUUUGGAACAUAGUGGUACUGGCUUAUGGCUUUGAGAAAUCAAACAAACAAUGAUGGGAUACACUCAACACGUAUGUGGAAAUGGAAUGGUUUUCUUAUUCAGGUAUUCAACUGAUUUCUCAUACUCAACGAUUGAUUCAUUUCCAAAUGGCCAGUCAACUCUCUUUUGUCAAUUUAAUGAAUUAAGAACCCAAAAACUGGUUUUGUUAGUAUACAGUUGCUGGCAAUGAUGGUCCUGCUGUUGUUCUUGUGCAUGGAUUUGGCGCUUUCGCAGAGCAUUACCGUGACAACAUAAAUGGUUUAGCUGGAGCUGGAAAUCGUGUUUGGGCUAUUACAUUGUUAGGAUUUGACAAUUCAGAAAAGCCAAAUAUUGUGUAUACUGAACUCUUGUGGGCCGAACUAUUGAGAGAUUUUAUUGUUGAUGUUGUGGGUGAACCUGUCCACCUUGUCGGGAACUCAAUUGGUGGUAUGAUUACAUAAAUUGGGUGUACUUCCUCUAAAAAAAUCUGUCCUUUUCACACUUAUACACCAAAAAAUCUGUCCUUUUCACACUUACAUGCUUUCCUAUUCAGGAUAGAAAAACCUCCGGCGCCUCCUGGUUGGACUCUCGUGUUCUUCUACUAUAUUUGAGGUUACUUAGUUAAGAAAUGUUAUCCAACUGUAAGUGUUUCAAAGGUAUAAUUAUGUCUCACAUUUUUGGUGUGGAUAUUGCUUGGUUCUGAGGCUUUUAACUUCGCAUGCAGCGGACAGAAAGAGCAGAUGAUUGGCUCAUAAAUAAAAUGCUAAGAGCAGUAUCCUCUUCUUGGCUUUUACUUUUUAGUAAUUUGCUUCACUUUUUUGAGUUUUGCAUUAUUCUGAUGUGUAUACAUGGCUCAUUUUGCCAUCUCCUUACAUAUGUAAAAGUCUUAUCAUCCUGGCUCUCCUGUGGUCGUGGAAAGCAUCUUCUGUUUUAAUCUUUCCAUACCUCUUAAUUUUCUUAUUGAAGAAUUCAGGGAAAAGGUUCUGAUUAUACAGGUACUCUAACGCUAAUGGCAAGAAAAUUUGAAGUUGAUAUGAUAUAUGUAUGUGAAUUAAUCUCUGGUAUAGCUUCGUAUCUUGUUAUUGAUUUCUUUGUUAUCAGGGGAUGAAAGAUCCAAUUUCUGACUGCAGUUCCAGGGUGGCUACACUGAAAAUCUGUCUUUGAUGAUAAACUAUUAUUUUAAUAAAUUUUUUUAAGAAUUUAUAUUUUUAUGAUUAAAUUUUUCUUUUACUUAAAUAAAAAUCAUUGUGUUAUAAACUUAUAAUACUCCAUAAUAGAAUCAUGCAUGUAACAAUAUCAAACUUAAAAUUUAUGUAUGGAUUGGACAUGUCUUUUCACCAACACAUAACAGAUAGGGUAUUGAUUGAAGUUACACCGAAUUAAACCCAAAAACAAAAAAUUCCAAAUAUAAUCGAUAAAUGUAAUACACGAAGUACACAUAAGAAGGCAAUCUAAUACAAUAACUACAUCCAACACAAGGAAAUUAAAACAUUGUCAUGCUUAUACCAAGAAAAUUAAAUUCAGUAAGUAUACUUAGGCAAGACAUUGUUUUCAUGCUGUCUUUUUUUUUUGUCAAUAGUUUUCAUGUUUAUAGAUUUUUUUAUCAUAAUGGACAUCCACAUCCGGUUAGACUAGACCCAUGUCACGAAUCUAACACCGCAGUCAAUUACAUGACCAAUUUGGCUAGUUAAAAAGAUGAGUCUUAGCUCACACGGCAUUCCGCCCCCUCCUUAUUUCAAAGGUCUCGGGCUCAACUCCUACCAACGGCAACCGAGGAAGAAAAAAUGGUAAGUAUGUGAGGAGCGUGUGGGUGUGUGUUAUACCUAGGAUCAAAGGUUGUCCAAUUCAUAUGAGAUACUUAGAAUUGGGGUUAUCCAAUUCACUGACCAACAAAAAAAAAAGACACAAACAAAAUAUUUAUGAAGUCAACUGAAAAUGAUGAAAAAUUAGAUGGAUUACACUGCCUAGUACAUUUUUCCAAUUGAUUGACACUUUUAUUAACUUUGUUUUUAAUUACCAAAAAAAAAAGUUAAUUUUUUGGUCAUUCUUUAUUAACUUUGUUGAAAUAGCCAUAUUAAAACAAUACAUGUAACUCAAAGGAUUUUUUUUCCUCUUUUGGGUUGGCUUGUUUUAUCCAUUGCAAUUUUCUUUCAACCUUUUUUGUUUGAUCUCAAAUUCACUAUUUUGGCCCAUACCACCAAGCCCGCUAUCCACAUAACAAAUCUCAAAAAUCACAACUAAUCCCUCUCCUAAGCGAAAACGGAGAACGGAAUUCAACUUUAAAAAAACUACACGUGUCUUUAUCUCAGCACAACACGCAGGGAUAACAUCACAUACAUGUUUUCUGUGACGGCACCAUAGAACUUUCCUUCUAAAAAUAGAUCCAACAUUUUAUCCAAUUCCUAAGAUUUGCUAAAACUUAGGGUGCCUAAGAGAGUACUUGGAUUGGACUUUGAUAAGCAUGGAUAUAGCCAUAUAGGUGAUGGAGAGUUUGAGAAAAAGUUUUCUCGUCAAGACGUCGAGGUAUGUGUACGGUGUUCCUAAGACAAGGGACUCCAAUGCCACUAAUGAACGUGAGGAUUGGGGUGUUUGUUUGUUAAAGGAACUAGAGCGUCACGGUUUGAAUCUCAUUUUGAAUAUGUAACAACUCUGCCGCUGCAUAUAUCCCCUCUUUGGCAGUGUAAGUGUGUAACCCUUCGACCUGGCGUUCCAAAUUCAGUUUGAAUGGGAGCUAACUUGCCACAAAAGAUUAAUAUGGAGAAUCAACUCUUCCACGAUCAGAUAAAGGAGUUGCAAGUCUACUAUAAUUCCUGCCUUUUGUAAACCAUCUUUAUAUUUUACCAUCUGAUUGUGAUAAAAUACAGAAGAUGAUAACGAUGAAGAAGAGGAGGAGAAUGAAAAGGAGUUUUGAGUUAUGUAAAAAUUAUCAGAAAAUAGUAUCAAAAUUUUUUAAUUGUGAUAUAGAAGUUUGUUAAUUUAGAUACCAAAAUUUUUUAACCUUGAUAUAAGCUAAGAGGAUAAAACAAGAAUUAUGAAAAUGUAAAACAAGAAAGAGAAAAAAAUGAUGAUGAUGAGAAUGAGGAAAGAGAAUUUUGAAUUAUGCAUAAUGUAUCAGAAAAAUAACACCGCAAUAUUUUAACCUUAAUACAAAAAUAUCUUUUUUAAUGUUGCAUUUUUUCUUUUUUUUUUUUUGUUGCUCUUACUUAUUUUCUUAGAAGUAUUGCUUCUCAUAUUAAAUUUGAAUAAACAUGUAUCUACUAUAUUCCAAUCUUAUUUAGUUAAAUGAAUGUAAGUUCAUAUUUAUUGGAUUAAAUUCUUGCCAUAAACAAAACUAGCACCAAAAUUUGUUUAAAUUGACACCGAAAUUCAAAUACAAUGAUACAGAAUGUAAAAAGUAAAUUGCAAACUAAAAUAUCACAUUAACUCUAUAAAAUGAAAUAAGAGAGCACCGAAUUAUUUAAAAUUGACAUCAGAAGUUCAGUAACAUAACACAAAAACAUCACUUAAAAUUGAAUAAUUGAAUGCUUAUCUCAAAUAUAAAAAACUGAAAAAUAACACCGAAAUAUCUUCACUAUAAUACUGAAAUUUUUAAUUAAAUGAUGUGAUAGAACUAAGAGCUUAUUUCAUGAAGACUUGAAUUGUAGAUUUACAAAUUUUAAUAGAAAGGAUAAUAAGUGGAAACAUAUGUGUACAACACAACGAAAUUAAGUAGAACAAGUACAAAAAUUCGAAAGAGAGUGAAUAGUGGCAUUACUUAUAAGAAGAAUAAGACGUAUUUAAUAUAUAAAACAACAAAAAAAUUUCUAAAGAAUAACGCCGAAAUAUCUUUACUCUAACACCAAAAUCUUCAACUAAAUAAUGUAAUGGAACUAAGAAUUUAUUUCAUGAAGACUUGAGUUACAGAUUUACAAAUUUUGAUAAAAAAAAUAAGUGAAAAGUCUUUAGAUAACACAACGAAAUUAACUAAAACAAGUGCAAAAAUUAAAAAGAAAAUGAACAAUAUUAUUUAUGUAUAAGAAGAAAACGACAAUGGGGACAAUAACAAUAACGAUAAUGACAAUGAUGAUAAUAAUGAUGAUGGAGGAGGAGAAUGAGGAGGAGGAGGAGGAGGAGGAGGAAUGAGAAGAAGAAAUUCAAUUGAGAAAAUGAAGAGAAAGAGCUGGUGGUGGCACGAAAGAGAACGAAGAGGAAAAAAGAAGUGAAGAAUAAUAAGCAUCAGCAGCAGCCGAGGUGUAUGGAAGAGACAGAAGAAGACGACACUAACGAUAACAUAAGAGAGUGCACGUUGAUGUGAAAUAACUUGGUUUGACUUUGUUAAGUACUUUAUUUGGUUAUAGACCUUUAUUGUAUAUUUUAUAAGAUUAAAAAAAAUAUUGAAGGUUUUUUUUGCUUUCUACGGUAUCUCCUAACGACUAAAGACUAAUUUAUGGCAUAUUUGAGUUCUAUUUAAAAAUUUGCUGCUGCCCAAUAGAUUGUUACAUAUAUUAGGUGAGAUUCGAAUCUCCAACACUUGUUUAAAGCUAACAACUAAACUAACCUAACCUAAGUUGGUUAAAAAAGAUUGAAGAGUUAUAGAAUGUAUUUUAGGCUUUCAAUUGAAAAAUAAAAUUGAGAAGGUCUAUUUUUGUUUGAAUAGCAAAGCAUUACAAAAUUCAGUUCGAUCUAAUAAAGAAACGGUAAAAACUGAAUACAUGUGAAGUUCAUAAUUAAAAAUUGUUUGAUGAUAAUUUAGUCAAAUAUAGCAAAUAAUCUAACUACUUUUAACUAUCAAUUAUUUUAUAAAAACAACUUUAUGCGAGCCUCUGCUUUGCCAAAAUUACGAGUUAAAAAAUCACCACAAGACCUAGAACCGAUGGGUUGGAUGGAACCGGAAUUGAAUUUGAAUUCUUUAAAUUUUAAAUUUUUAUUUUGAAAGAUAAAGUGUGAUCUCUCAUCUUUGAAUAAUUUUUCUUUCAUAUUUUUUUGGUCCUACUUGUGAAAUAAAUAAUGAGAAAUCACACCUUAUCUUCUAAGAAAAAUGCUACUUGUAUAACACAAAUAAAUUUUUGGUCAGCCUUUAAUAUUAUUUAAUUAUUUUAAAACAAAACAAAUUCCUAUUUUUUAGAUACAUAUUUAUAAUUAAACUUAAUUUAAAGUUUAAAAACUUAAAUUUCUCUAAUUUUCUAUCCACUUCAUAGUUAGUUAUUGUUUCAUUCCUUCUUUUACAUUACUUCAUAUAAAAAAUACAGUUUCUUUUACUUUCUUUUAUGUUACAUUCUUAAAUGUGAUAACACUACUCUCUCUUUCGUCUUGGAGCUCAACCAGAAAAUCCUCAUCGGUAAAGUCAUGUAGCACCCUUUUCGUCGUUUUUUAUUAUUAUUAUUAUUAUUAUUAUUAUUAUUUGCCCCUUUGUUUAUGUGAUUGUACCUGUUUACAGUUUCGAAACGAAAUGAAUAAUGAGCACACUUUAAAUCUUUAAAAUCUUAUGGGUUGUCAUUGUUAAGGCUAUUUCUUGUGGUUCCAUUCUACUAUAUUUGUGUUCAUAAAAUAUUUCCUUUUCCAAUCCCAGCACACACUGGUAACAAACAUAAAAAAUAUGAUGUGGAAGACAAAUCUAAAUAGGUACAUAGUCAUCUUCUGCAAGUGGAGCGUCAGAUAAAUCACAAAUAAACAUAAUUGUUAUUUAAAAAUAAACAUAAUAAUCUAUUUUUAUUUAAUUGUAACAUUAGUUGAUCUUAUUUGGUUUUAAUAAUAGAGUUAUUACUAAUAAAAUAAUGUGUACUUAAUUUGUUUGAGUGAAAAAGUACAAAAGAUAAAAAAUUGAAGUAAAAAGAUGUAGAUGGUAUAUUCAUAAUUUUUUUUAAAAUUAUAACACAUCUAAUAAUAUGAUGUUAUAUACAAAAUAUUUUUAAAACACAUCCAAAAUCAUAAAAUUAUAGAAUUUAAAUAUAAACGUUAAUAAUACAAUUAAUCUUUUAAUUUUUGAUUCGAUAAAAUGCAAUUAAUAUUUAUUAUUUAAUUAUUAGUUGAAUUUUUUUCAUUACUUAUUGAACAUUAUCGUUUUCAAAUAAAGUAAUUCAUACUUAAUUAAUUUGAUUAAAAAUGCACAAAAAAUUAAAAAUNNNNNNNNNNNNNNNNNNNNNNNNNNNNNNNNNNNNNNNNNNNNNNNNCACUGUCCUUCUAACACUAUUUUUACGUAAUGAUUCAUCUAUUGAAAGUAUUGACCAUUCACCACCAUUUUAAAACAAACUACCUACUGCAUAUAUUUUUUUCAGUUAUUUUUUUAUCAUUUUACCACUCUAUUUUUAUUAUUAAAUUUGUAUUUAAUUACGUGUAAUAUGAAAUCUCAAUUUUAAUUUUUUUUUUCACAUGUGAUUUUAUUUUUAUAUAGCUUGUUAUUAUUUUUAUAGUUAGUUAUAACAAAUUAACAAGUUCUUGACCCCAAUAAAGGAGGAGGCUAAUAGGAGUAAAAAUAAAAUAAAAAAAAAUAACAACAAAAUAUACAUUGACACACAUUUUAUAUUUAUUUUUUAUGUUCACUUAUCAUAUUAUACACAAUAAAACAGCAAAUACUAACUACAUAAUAAUUUCGUUGGCAUUGUCAUUAAGAUUAUUGUGAAUUAAAAUUUUAUUACUAUUCACCACAUACAAGAACACCGUUAUGGGUAAAAGUGAAGUAGAAGAACCAAUUUCUAAUGAUAUUACGUGGUAAAAACCAAUUGUCUAAAAAAUGGAACUGUUCAUACUCUGGUCCAACGCUAAGGCCCAAGUCUAAAUAAAAGGCUCAAUCCAAAAGAUUGACCCUCAUUCGACACCGACCUUCUCUCAAGAAGUUGGAUCCAAUGACGACUUGCUCUAAGGAAGUCAGGAACAAAGAUUAGCUGACAAAUAAUCUUUAUUCAAAUAAAUAACUGCCCCUAAAAUCUCUCAACCCACUUUCAGGAGCCAUAUCUCAACUACCCUAGGAUAAAGAGAUGGUGAUCCUCCUUAAAAGGUGGAACUACUCCAAGGGUGGUUAUUGGUUCACUACUAUAAAUACACUAACACUCUUCAGGUAUCUCUAAGUUCCAAUACUCUCAAAACUUGCUUAGACCCUUGCUGACUCAAGCAUCUGAGUGUCUUUGCAGGUACCACCCCCAUUCCUUCAUACCCACAAGUCGGACGGAGGCUCCAGACGCAAACAACAAAUAAAGAAUCAAUCAAUUGCCUAAACGAUUAUAAUCUUAGUAAUUAGGUUAUGUAAACAUUCAAUAUUGAAAAGUACUUGUUAUCAUCGUUAUUUUAAAUUUUAUUUUCUUGUGUAAAAAAAUUAUAUUUUUUGAGUUAUUUAUCCAAACGUUACAACUUUAAAAUAAGUACUUCUAUAAAAAAUAUUAACAUUAGUUUUAAUGUUUAACUUUUAGGAUAAAUAAAAAGAUGAGAUCUUUUUUAUAAAUUUGAUGAUUAAAAAUUUAUUUAUUAUAGAACAAGUUAAGUCUAUUUCUUGACUAUAGGAAUAUAUAUAAUUCACUCUUGAAUGUAAUCAAAAUAAAUAUAUAUUUAUUUAAUUUUUUAAAUUUUACAUUAAUUAUUAAAAUCAUAAUAUAAUGGAUGUACUCCUAUUAAAAAAUGAAAAUGACUUUAUAAUUAUUCUUUUGUUGGAAAAAAAUAUGACUCAAUAACUAUAGAGUAUAAUUUAAACAACUAUAAAUAAGUAACAUAAGUAAUAAAAAUGGACAUAAAAAUUAAUUUUUUUGUUAUUUGGUAUAAAAAUAAAUAUAAUAAAAUAAAUCAUUGUUCUCAUACAUAAUGACAUAAAAUUUAACAUUAUCCUUUUCUAGAGUCAUCUAUUUUUUUAGUUUUUAUCCUUAUUUUUGUACUUUAUUUUAAUUUUAUUAAACCAAAAAAUACUAAUGUCAUUUAACUUUAAUUUUUAAUUUUUAUUAUAAAUAAAAAUAUGUGACAUUGAAUGUAUUAGAUAAUAAAAAAAAACUCAUAAUAAAAAAAAUUAAAUUUACUCCUUCGUUACCUUUACAGGAAUGUAGAUGAUUCACAUAUGAGUUACGAGAUUUUUUUUUCAACUUUUAUUUUUAAAGUAAUAUUCACUUCUCAGUGUAAAAAUUAUGAAUUAAUAUAUAUGUUGGUAACUAAUUGCGAUUGAAGAGAAGAUAGAAAGAGAAUAAAGAUAGAGGAAAGAAGAGAGAACAAGCUAAUACAAGAGGUAGGGGUGUUCAUGGAUUGGAUCCGAUCUGCAUAUCCGCAGUGUUUAUCCAAAUUCGAUCCGAAAAUUGCGGAUAUAGAUCCGAUCCGCAAGGCUUUCGGAUCGGAUCGGAUCGAAUCCGCACACUAAUCGGAUCGGAUUGCGAAUUUUGUAUUGGUAUCCGCAUAUCCGUGUAUCCGCAAAAAUAAAGAAAUAAAUAAUUAAAUAUUUUUUUUAUGUUUUAUUUCAACUAAUAAUUAUCAUAUAUGUUGUAUUAUUUUAAUUUAUUAUUUAAAAAAAGUAUGUUUAAUGAUGAUCUUUUUUAUAUAGUAUAUUUUUAAUAUUUUUUUUAAUAUGCUAUAAUUUUUUACUAUUAUUAUUAUUAUUAUUUACAGUUAAUUUUCUAGCCUAGUUGCUAAGAAGAAGAAAAAGCAAAAUUGGCUUGACUAUUACCAACUUAAAUAUUAUAGAAAUCAGACCAAAAGGCCAACUAAAAAGGUAUGCCUUCAAGUCUUCAACAAUCCAAUUAUGCACUCUGAAUUAUUUGUCCAUUUUGAAUUUGGUUUCAGCAUAAGUUUUCUCAUACUAUUUUUCAAUGCAUCCAUUUCUUUUCUUUCUUUAGGUAGCGUUUGUUUGUAGAGACACGACAGAACAAGACACUGAGACAAAGACAACAGGACAGAGACAUUAAAAAUUAUGUUUUGUAUAUCGUAUUUGGAUACGAUGGAUAGGACACUAAUGUAAUGUCCAGUAUUAUGUUUGGAUACACAUGGACAGGACUAAAAUAUUAUAUAAAAUGACUAAAAUAGUCAUGUGAUUCCAAAUUUUUGAGUAUAAACUAAUUUAAUAAAUAAUAAGAGUACGUAGGAGUACAGACAGUGGGAACUUGAAAAAAAUAUUUGAAGCAGUCAAAAAUUUUAAUAAAAAAUUAUAUAAUAAUAUUUAUAUUAAAAUAAAAUUUAUAAAUAUAAUUAUUUUUUUUAAAUUUAUUAUUAAUAUGUAGGAAUACAUAUAGUUAAUAUUAACAAAAAAAAUCUGAGUUUGAUUAAUAAAAAAUUUCAUUUAGGUUAAUAAGCCAAAUUAAUUUUAAAUACAAAAUCAGUUUUAAAAAAAGAAUCCAUUUUUAAAUGGAAAAAAAUUAAUUUUUGCACAUAAAAAUCUAUUUUUAUUUAGAAAAUUAAUUUUUUUUAUCUAAAAUUUUAUUUUUCUUUCAAAAAAUUAAUUUUUCUUUAAAUUAUAUAAAAUCAAUUACAACUUAUAAAUUAUUUUUUAGCAUUUUUAGAUAUCAAUUUUACCUUUAUAAUAUUUAUCUUUUAAAAGUCUCCAGACUAAUUAUUUUUGUUAUUAUUUUUAUUACAAAUCAAAUAAUAUAAUAUAAAGUUAAAAUGAUGUUGAAGUAAGAAUGAUAAGAAAAAAGAAAUUAUUCAGUCUAAUAAAAAUUUUUAUAAAAAAGAGAGAGUACCUGAGAAAAAAAGAGAAAGAAAAAGAACGUAGAAAUAAAAAAAGAGCAUGGAGUAAAAAAAAGUACUUUCUAAGAACAACGCAAAAUAGAAAAAAUAAGAAGGGGUAACAGUGGAAUAAUAAAAAAUAGCACCAUGGACAAAAAAGAAAAAAAAUUCAUAAAAACGUCCGUGUCUCUCUUCCAAAUCCGUGUCCAUCAUUGUCCUCCGUAAAAAAGUGGACACAAAAGGAUUAAAAACUGUCCCAGAGACAAUAUGUUCAGUGUUCAUGUCUUUGCUUCCAAACGCUUUUUAAGAAUGUGCUGUCCAUGUCUCCGUGUCGUGUCUCCGAAAACAAACACUACCUUACAUAUGGCUAACAUUGUGUCAGCAAUCUGGAUUUUUAGGACUUUGCAACAAUAGGGUGAAUGCAAUUGAUUUUUACACGGACGAAAUCGAUAAACUUUCAAAAGAAGCUAAUAUUACCAAACCUUCUUGUACAAUUUCAUGUACUUCAUAAUUUCUUGUUUACUUGGUGGAUCACAUAAUCUUAUGCCAUUAUUAUAAACAUUUAAUAAUAUUUUUUCAUUUCAUAAUUUGAUUGUGUUACAGCCCGGCCCAGGAUUCCCGCGGGUCAACCCGACCCGAGCUCCACCCGACCCGGCUACGCACCUUUCAAUCGACCCAGACACGCGUCCCGUACGGCUCACCUGCAGUUGUGGGACAGCGUUCUUGGGAAUAUGGGCCUGCCCUCCAGAGGGGCCCACUACUGACAUGUAUAUAAGGGGAAGACUGGCUCUUCCCCCGAGGUACGUCACAUUCCUACAUCACCCUCUUUCCGCCUGCACAUAUUUUGACAAAGGCGUCGGAGUGUCUUUGCAGGUGGCACCCCCUUCCUUUCCACACGAAGUACCCAGGACCUCGCACCUCUUGGACCGGAAGACCGUGACCAGACGAGCCCCUUCCAUCACUUCGAAUCCUGACCCGAACCGUCCGGUAACCGACCUACCGAACAUUGGCGCCGUCUGUGGAGAGACUCGUCCAUGGACUUCGUGCUAGUCCAAACUGGGACAGGCUGCGAGGCAGCGCCUCCCGUGCCCGGAAAAGGCGUCGCUGCGGCGGAAACUCGGCAACAACAGAGGUCGCCCCCAAGGGACGCGACGCAAACUCACGAGAGACGCCUCUUCGGGGGGACAGGCGACAACCACGCCAGGAUAAUGCAAGAGCUGCGCCAUAGGAUGCAAGACUUAGAACGCCGGCUAGCAGAAAGAGAACGCGACCAACGCACCCCGGAGCAGAGCCCCACCCGCUCCCGUUCAAGGAGCCGCUCGAGGCGCACACCCAGCCCUCAAUACGAGUCGGAGAGCACUGGGGGACGGGGGCGCGCCAGAAGAAGAAGUCGGGACCCCAUCAUUUACGCCCGACACGAGAGGCGGCGUGCGUCGAACAGGGGCGAAGAGGACGCCCGUCGGGAGAAUGACGAGCCGAGGAGAACUACCUGGGGACCAGUGAUAAUAGGAGCGACCCCUUUCCACCGUUCCGUACUCGAGGUCCGGCUGCCGAAACACUUUGACAAGCCAACGGACAUGAAGUAUGAUGGAACACAAGAUUCCCUGGAACACUUAACGGCCUUUGAGGCCAGAAUGAACCUGGAAGGGGUGGGAGACGAGGUCAGAUGUCGCGCCUUCCCGGUCACCUUGGCGGGCCCAGCGAUACGGUGGUUCAACAACCCCCCGCAGGGCUCGGUGACCCAAUUCUCUGACAUCAGCCACGCCUUCUUGGCUCAAUUCACGACCAGGAUUGUCAAAGCCAAACACCCAAUCAAUUUGCUAGGGGUGACACAGAGACCCGGGGAGCCGACCAGGAAAUACCUGGACCGUUUCAAUGACGAGUGCCUGGAAAUUGACGGUCUAACGGACUCGGUGGCAAGUCUGUGCUUGACGAACGGGCUCUCGAAUGAGGACUUCAGGAAACACCUUACCACAAAGCCCGUUUGGACAAUGCAAGAGAUCUAGUGCGUGGCCAAUGAGUACAUCAAUGACGAAGAAGUCAGCCGGGUCGUGGCUGCCAAUAAACGGCAGCCCGCCUACAACCAAGCCCGGCACUAUGAAGGCAGAGAAAGACCAAAGGAACACGCCAGGGAUGGCGGUCCGAGUAAAACACCCAAACCGUUCCCCCGAGUUGGGAAGUUCACCAACUAUACCCCCCUCACGGCAUCAAUCACCGAAGUUUACCAACAGAUAGCGGAAAAGGAGAUACUGUCAAAGCCCCAACCUCUGAAUGACAGGACGGGAGGAAACAAGAACCUCUACUGCGAGUAUCACAAGGGUUACGGGCACAAGACCCAAGACUGCUUCGACCUAAAAGACGCCCUGGAGCAAGCUAUCAGGGAUGGAAAACUUGUCGACUUCUCCCACCUUAUACGGGAGCCAAGGAGACGCAACCGGGACCACGAUAGCGAAGACAGAUUCCGGUCAACAAGGCGACGACAGGAACCAGAGGGUGACGACCACGGCCUUACGGUGGUAAACGUGGUAACGGCCAGGAAUACCGCCCCAAGGUCAAAGUCAACGCAGAAAAAAGACGCCAAGGUCCUAGCGGUCUCCACCUCGACUGUUAGAAGUUUCCGAGGUAUCCCACCCAUCUCCUUCGGCCCAGAGGACCAAUGGUUUGACGAGGCACCGGAAAGUCUGCCCAUGGUCAUCACGACCAGGGUCGAAACGGGCCUCGUCAAACGAAUCCUGGUAGAUAUGGGGGCAGACUCAAACAUCAUGUUUUGAAAUGUUUUCGAUGCCCUGGGACUAAGGGACGCCGACCUGACGACCCACCAGCACGGUGUGGUAGGGUUGGGGGAUCACUUCAUCAAGCCGGAUGGAAUCAUCUCACUCCCGACCUCUGUGGGACAGCGGCAGAAGCGACGAACAGUUAUGGCAGACUUUGUAAUAUUACGAGAUUCCACGGCUUAUAACAUCAUCCUGGGGAGAAAAACCAUCAACGACCUGGGGGCGGCCAUUAGUACAAAGCUACUGGUGAUGAAGUUUGUCACCGAUGACGGAUCCGUAGGAUCCAUCAAAGGCGACUUGGAAACGGCAGUCGCUUGCGACCACGCCAGCCUUUCUCUCAGGAAAAAGUCCAAAGAAGCAUCCGGGGUCUUCCUUGCUGACCUGAACGCCAGGAUAGACGACAAACCUAGACCAGAGCCAGAAGGAGACUUGGAAAAGUUCAGGGUCGACGAGGAGGACGAUAAAUUCACAUUCAUAAACAGAAACCUCCCCCAUGAAAUGAAGGGGCCUUUGAUGGAAAUGAUCAGGGCUAAUGCCGACCUCUUUGCCUGGACGCCUGUCGAUAUGCCCGGGAUAGAUCCCCAGCUCAUAUCGCAUCAUCUGGCCGUCAAGGCGGGAACCAAGCCAGUGGCCCAGAAGAGGAGAAAAAUGUCGCAGGAAAGGGCAGAAGAGGUAGCCAGGCACACGGCCAGCCUCCUAGAAGCAGGAUUCAUCCGGGAACUGGACUACUCGACCUGGUUGUCGAACGUGGUCCUGGUUAAAAAGCACAAUGGGAGAUGGAGAAUGUGCGUGGACUACUCUGACCUCAACAAGGCGUGUCCCAAGGACUGCUACCCCCUGCCUAACAUUGACGCACUCGUCGACGCAGUGGCGGGGUACCGGUAUCUGAGCUUCAUGGAUGCCUACUCAGGAUACAAUCAGAUCCCGAUGCACCGACCCGACGAGGAAAAAACGGCGUUCAUAACGCCAGGGGGAAUCUAUUGUUACAGGGUAAUGCCUUUUGGUUUGAAAAACGCUGGGGCCACGUACCAAAGGCUGAUGAAUAAGAUAUUCAGUGAACUUAUAGGCAAAACAGUAGAAGUCUACGUGGAUGACAUACUCGCGAAGACCGCACGACCCGACGACCUCCUGAGCGACCUUGAUGGCGUUUUUUCGUCCCUCCGGCAGCACGGCAUGAGGCUUAAUCCGCUCAAGUGCGCGUUUGCCAUGGAGGCCGGAAAGUUCCUGGGAUUCAUGAUCACUCAAAGAGGAGUGGAAGCCAACCCCGAAAAGUGCCAAGCAGUUCUCCAGAUGAAGAGCCCGGGUUGUAUCAAAGACGUCCAACGACUUGCUGGGAGGUUAACGGCUUUAUCCCGAUUCCUCGGCGCGUCGGCAGCAAGAGCCCUGCCUUUCUUCAAUCUAAUGAGAAAAGGAAUGACGUUCGAAUGGACCCCAGCGUGCGAAGAGUCAACCACUUNNNNNNNNNNNNNNNNNNNNNNNNNNNNNNNNNNUAUCUAUACCUAUCAGUAACCGAGGAAGCACUUGCCACAGUGCUCGUUAGAGAAGAGGGGAAGACCCAACAACCCGUUUACUUCGUGAGCAGGGUCCUCCAAGGACCAGAACUUAGGUACAGCAAGCUGAAAAAACUGGCGCUGGCGCUCCUAGUCUCCUCCCGAAGGUUAAGACAAUACUUCCAGAGCCAUCGUAUAAUCGUGAGGACGGAUCAGGCGAUUCGCCAAGUACUGCAAAAACCUGACUUGGCCGAUAGGAUGAUGACCUGGGCCAUCGAGCUCUCCCAAUAUGACCUACAGUAUGAACCCCGACAUGCAAUCAAAGCCCAGGCAAUGGCAGACUUUCUGGUAGAGGUGACGGGAGACCCCCCCAAGGAAACGGGCACACGGUGGAGGCUCCACGUGGACGGGGCCUCCAACCAAACGUCCGGGGGAGCAGGGGUCAUCUUAGAAAGCCCAGCAGGGAUCAUCUAUGAGCAAUCGACUAAGUUCGAGUUCCCAGUGUCAAACAACCAAGCAGAAUAUGAGGCUCUCUUGGGUGGACUAAUACUAGCUCGGGAAGUCGGGGCGACAAAGGUCGAAGUUUGCAGCGACUCACAAGUUGUCACCUCGCAGGUAAACGGAAGCUACCAGGCCCGGGACCCCCUCCUGCAAAAAUACCUGGAAAAGGUUAAAGAAAUAACAAGUCAGUUCCAGGAGGUCAUCGUCCAACACAUCCCAAGAGAAAGGAACACACGGGCGGACCUCCUGUCUAAGCUGGCGAGCACAAAGCCAGGAUCGGGUAACCGGUCUCUUAUCCAAGGCAUGGUGAAGGAACCAACGGUCACCCUCCAUUUGACGAAGUCAAGCCCCUCGUGGCUAGACCCCAUCACCAACUUCCUGGAACUCGGCAAGUUGCCUGAAGAUGAGAAAGCAGCCAAAGCUUUAAGAAGGGAGGCGGCCAGAUACGCAAUCAUACAUGGACAACUAUUCAAAAAGGGACUCAGCCAGCCCCUAUUAAAGUGUUUGCACCCCGACCAGACGGACUACGUGCUUAGAGAAGUCCAUGAGGGGUGUUGCGGGCACCACAUCGGGGGCAAAGCCCUAGCAAGGAAGCUCAUCCGAGCCUCAUGUGGAGGCAGGUGAUAACCCGUUUCGAUAUCCCGGAGGUCGUUAUCUCGGAUAAUGGGACCCAGUUCACGGACAAGAAGUUCAUGGAGUUCCUCUCUGGCCUAGGGAUAAAACAGAGGUUCUCCUCGGUAGAACAUCCCCAAACAAAUGGGCAGGUAGAGGCUGCAAACAAAGUCGUCCUUCUUGGUCUAAAGAAACGCUUAGGCGACAAGAAAGGAACAUGGGCUGACGAGCUCGCUUCCGUCCUAUGGUCCUACCGGACAACUGUGCAAAGCGCCACGGGGGAAACUCCCUUUCGCCUAACAUACGGGGUCGAUGCUGUGAUACCCGUCGAAAUUGGCGAACCGAGCCCCCGACUACUACUCACGGGCAUGAGCGAAGUGGUCGAAAAGGACCUGAUCGAGGAGACAAGGGAGAUGGCUCACUUAUCAGAAACGGCGUUGAAACAAAUAAUAGCCCUGCGUUACAACGCUAAAGUCCUCAAACGAGAUUUCGAGGAAAGGGACCUCGUCCUGCGACGCAACGACGUCGGCGCACCGACCCCAGGGGAAGGAAAGCUGGCGGUGAACUGGGAAGGUCCCUACAGGGUAAGGGAGGUGCUCGGCAAAGGUGCUUACAAGCUCGAAAGACUCGACGGCAAGGAAGUACCCAGAACAUGGAACACAGGUAACCUAAAGAGCUUCUACUCAUGACCUAACGGCUCGCUAACCAGGGAGCCUAACCAGAUAGUUGAUACUUGCCCUGUCCACAUGUUAAUUUACCUUCUCUAUUCGCUUUAUCAAAUACUUGACCAGCUGACGAUUAAUUUUCACUUGUUAAAUUUUUUACCUACCUAUUGCUCCCCAAUAUGUGCUUCACACGAUUGAUCUCUAAAACGGCAUCCCGGGACUGAUCACCCCGGGAGCCAGACGGAUCACAGCCAUAAUUAACUUGGCAACAACACGACCAAACCGGUCCGAACCGUUACCAACGUAAAAACGGCAAGACGGGCACAAGCAAUAAGCCCGCCCCGGAAACGCGGUAACAAAAAUAAUCCAACGAACAAGGCAAAAAGACAACGACGGCAACACGACCAGACAACGAAACGAGCGUAAAUUAUAAAGCAACCAAAUAAGCAUAACUUAUAAAGUGUCAAAACAUGGAACGGACAAGCAAAUUGUUCAAAACAAACAAACGACAAAUACACAAAGUUACAAGGUAUCACUUCCUCGGCAUAUCUACAAUCUUGCCAUCUUGAAUCAUUUUGAAGACCCCGAUAGCAGAGGUAUCGAAGUCGGGAGCCACAAUCUUCACUUGAGCCUUCAGCUUCUUUUUGAGCCCUUCGACUUCCGACUUAGCGACCUCGGGCAACGAGACGGCUUCAUCACGCUCUUUUUCCAAGGCCGCCACCCGACCCUGAGCAGAGUUCAGCUGGCCCUCCAAGGUCAUCUCCCGCUCGGUUAGGCGGGCCAUCGACUCGUCCGAAACUUUCAACUUCUCGGCAGCGGACAUCGCCUUCUCCUCCGAAACUUUGAGCUUCUCCGCCGUCUCAGACAACUGGCCCUGGAGCUGCUCAACUUGGACUUUGAAAUCAUUAUUGGCUUUGACAGAGGACUCGAGCUUCCUCCGGAGGGUCUGCAUCCCCGACAACUCGAACUCGGCCUUUCGAGCUAUCACGGCCCCCCGGAGCAAAGUCCGAUACAUCCAUCUAGCCUGCCCAGCCAGUUCAGUGCCAAGGAAAUGUUCCUCCGUCCCAGGGAUCAAUUGGGAGUCAAUAAACCUUGUAGCAUCAAAAUUCCUCUCCAUGAUACUAAGGGCCCCCUCCGGGCUGGCUGACGACCUCCGCCUUUUGGGAGUAUGGAUAAGCUCCACGUCAUCGUCUUCUUGAUGGGAAGCGGUUGAGUGCCCACCAGUUGCCUCCUCGGGAAUAGGGGAACCCUGAUCCACGAUAGGCCUUUUCCCCGCCGCAACGGCCUCCCGUGAAGAAGCCUCGCCCUGAUCCCCAACCUCCACGGCUGGACCCUCCGACUUCCCGGCCUGAUCCUCCGCCUCCCCGGCAUCUUUCUCAGCUUUCUCGUCGUCACUAUCUUCGAAAAAGGUCUUCAUCAAAUUUUCAAGCCCGACCACAGUGGCAGACAUUUCCACUACAGCAAACAACAGACGCAUUAGUCGUUAAAUCGAAUAAAGAAAACAACAAUAAACGCAAAGGCAAGCAAAUAAGACAACUCACAGAUAUAGCUCCUGCCGGCCUCCCGUUCACCCAUAAGAAGAUGAGGGUUCACGGGGUUCUUUUCAAACAUGGCAAAAAGUACGUCAGCUAUUUGCUUAUCUACAGGCGACAACCUCUUGUACGUCACCUUGAUGAAGGGAUUCAACCCCGCCCCAAAACUCCAGUAAGUCGGGAUAAGGCGCUCCCCCUCUAACGACAACCAAAAGGGGUGACGACCCUUGACGGGACGAACUUUGAAAUACUUGUCUUUGAAACCAUGGUAGGAGUCCUCAAAGAGGCCAAAUAUUCUCCUACCGUGGCCAGAACGAAAAGAGAGAAAUCCUUUCCUCGCCUUCCCCUGCUUGGAAGGGUUGGUAAGGUUGAAGUAAAAAAGGAAGACGUCCACUGACACCGGCAGCUCUAGGUACUCGCAAACCAUCUCGAAAUAGCGGAUCGAGGCCCAACUGUUCGGAUGGAGCUGAGAGGGGAGACUGAUAUCCGGUUUAGGAGCGCCAUUUGAAAAUCAGAGAACGGUAUCCGGACGCCAACUUGUGUGAACAUGGACUUGUAAAACCAAAUCCAAUCGGGGACACGAGGAGAAUGGAAGUUGAGCUCAUAAAUACGCUCGUUGGGGGCAGGAACAACGGUCUCAUAGUUGGCCUCCUCGUCCGUCCCCCCACACAAGUGGCCGGCUCGCCGGAACUCGGUCAACUCCUCUAAAUCCAUUUGGUUGGGCGAUUCCUUUAUAUCGUCAGUCACCCAGGCGUACGGGUCAUAGGCCGCGCCAGAUCCAGAAGACCGGGAGACGAUGCGAGGCAUACCUACAGCGGAGUACCACUCCGUUAGUCUAUGAGGUCGGGAGUCCAUAGAAACCCAGAAACUACACCCUUUCAACUUUAUCAUGACCAAAUACGGUUAAAGCCUAAGCCUAUCACACAAGUCACCUAAAAACCUACCCCGGAAUGGUACCCCUCCCAUAAUUCAUCUACCCCAGCGUUGGAAAGCCAUCAGGCAAAAGUAAACAUAAACAGCAACUACACAAGGCAUAGUAUAAACACAAGAGAAUAAAAAUCAAGAAAUUACCUAAAAUGGUUGUAGGAACUGGAGUGUGAAAGAGAAGCACGAGAUGGCUCGAGCAAGAAAAUUCGGAUGUCAGGGAGAAAAGAGGAUGAAAAUAGCAAGAGUGGGAGAAAAAGAAAAAGGAAACUGUUUAAAAACCACCACGAGAAGCGCGAAAGAAGGCAGGGGCAAAACGGUCUUUACGCACGGGAUUUUUUCAAACCAUUAUGAGCAUUUAAUGCUCAGCGCGAAGAACGAAGCGACGAACGAACGCCUCAGCAGACCAAGAGACACGCGCACAAGAGACGCGCCUCUCCCACGGUCAACCGACUCGACGACAACGCACGAACAAGGACAUCACGCGCCACCGAUCGCCCCCACGACCAUCACUGGCACGUCGGGGGCACUGUUACGGCCCGGCCCAGGACUCCCACGGGUCAACCCGACCCGAGCUCCACCCGGCCCGGUUACGCACCUUUCAAUCGACCCGGACACGCGUCCCGUACGGCUCACCUGCAGCUGUGGGACAGCGUUCUUGAGAAUAUGGGCCUGCCCUCCAGAGGGGCCCACUACUGACAUGUAUAUAAGGGGAAGACUGGCUCUUCCCCCGAGGUACGUCACAUUCCUACAUCACCCUCUUUCCGCCUGCACAUAUUCUGACAAAGGCGUCGGAAUGUCUUUGCAGGUGGCACCCCCCUUCCUUUCCACACGAAGUACCCGGGACCUCGCACCUCUUGGACCGGAAGACCGUGACCAGACGAGCCCCUUCCAUCACUUCGAAUCCUGACCCGAACCGUCCGGUAAUCGACCUACCGAACAGAUUGUAAACUUACUCUAAAUUGGUAUAUGUAGUGGAAUUCGGUACAUGUAUAAAUUGUGAAAAGGUUUCAACGGUUUAUGUAUAUUUUGUAUCUUCAUAGAAACUGUGAAAUCUCUACCACAGUUUCUUCUUAAAUACAUGAUCAACGUAAAUCGUGGAACCCUUCAGCGAUUUAUGUAUAUUUUGAAUAUGUGGGACUCCUUCCACGAUUUCAAUAAUUUUGUAAAAAGUUGUAUUUUCGUAUCUAAAUUGCAAAAUUGUAUUUUAAUAAUUUUAAAACUCAAAUGUUUUAUUUUCGUAAAUUGCCCUUAAAUAUAAUUGAGAAAUAAAUAAAUUUACAAAUAUUUAUAAAUUUUAUCUUCAUUGUUACACAUAGUAACAACAUAAUGAUUUUAGUAUUAUAUCUAAAUUAAUUUAAAUUCAAUUAUUCUAUAUAUUAAAGAAAUUAAAUAACUAAUAAAUUUUUUAUUUUUAUUUAAUUAUUCUAUACAAAAUUUUUGAAUGCUUGAUAUCUUAAUUUUUGUUUAAAUGAUAAAAUAUGACUUAACAAGUAAGUAUGAAAAAUAAGUAUUUUUAUAAUAUUUAUACAUCUAGAUAUCUAAAUCAAACAAAAAAAUAAUUCUUUUAAUAAAUCUUUAACAACUCAAAAGUUAACACAAUGGAUAUGUAUGGAUCAAAGUGAUAAACAAAAAUGAGAGCUACGAUAAUAGUAAUAUGAUAUGGUGGUAAUUGAUUGCGGUCGGGGUUAAUAAAAGAAGAAAACAAAAAAGGAGAAUAAAAUAAGACAAUAUAAUAGUGACGACGAGACAAUAAUAAAAUUUAAAUUUAUUUAUUUUAUAUUUCUUACAAAUAUUAAAUAACUUAAAAUAUUUUAUUUUUUUAUAAUUUAUUUUUUAAUUAUUAAUAUUAAACUUAUAAUUUUAGAAAUAAAAAUAUAAAAAUAUUUUUUUAACUCAAUAGAAAAGCGCUGAACAGGUAUCGCAAUUGAGCCACUAAUUGUAAUAAAAGGUUGAACAUUGUCCCAUUUUUAAAGAAUACCUAAUUGAAUCGAUCUUCUAAAAUAAAAUUCAAAAUUUAGAGCAUUUAAAUUCAUUAGGUUUUUUAAACCAGCGCCAAUACAACGUCGUUUUGGAUUAAAAAGAAAAAAAAAAUUAACGAACAAUUUCUUGACUCUGAAAUCUUCUUCUUCUCCCAGCCGUGCUCUCCUCUUCGUCGCUGUUCCCUGCCGCCUCAGUCACCGUCGUCUCCUCUCUCCCAGAAGCCUUGUAAUCGCCGACGUCGCCUCCCAGUCCUCUGCUAAGCCUCUCCUCGGCUUCUCAGUUCAGGACUUUCCUCAGGUAAUAUGUUUUUUAAUUUUUCAGUCCUCAAUCCGCUGUGUUAGUUUGUUUCCAGUUUUUCAAUUUGUUGUAGUUGUUACUGCUGUGUUUUUGCCUCUCCUUCCUUCUCCCUCUUCGGAUCUUCCUCCAUCUCUGCUCAUAACUUAGCCGCACUUUGAAUUUCUCUCGUCUCCUUCCUUUGCGUACUCUCUCUCUCUCUUCAAGGCAACAACCAGCUACCACACACCUCUUUCAGCCUAAUCGAUUGGAGAAGCUCACAUUAUCCUUUUCUUUUCUUUUUUUUUUUCACUGUUUUUGCAGUUUCGAGUUCGAUUAUGUCGAAGGACAAGGACUCUACCAAUUUGUCACGCACCUUCAAAUACCUCUUAGGUUUCGAUUUAAAUUAUUGUUUCUUUUUUCAGUAAUGACAAUUUAGCAAUGUGAUUUUAGUUUAACUGGAAAACAUACAUCAGAUUUUAGUUUAACUGUUUCAGAUUUUCGUUAAAAUAGUAUUGCAUUCGUUCUUUCUUUUUCUGGUGCUACCUUACAUAAGAAGGCUUGCUGAUCUUCUUUUCUCGACGUGUUGAAUGUGGAUAUCAUGAUUCCAGCUACUCAAUUCUUGUCAAGAGGAAUUCCAUUUAUAUUCAAUACAUGGAUUGUAACUUGUAAGGCAUCUUACACAAGAGGACUAUGCGGUAAAUCAAUUUCUAUUGCUGUUUACAUCUUCUCUGUGCAACUGAGUAUAUGUAUGUUUGAUUGUGUUCAUCUUUAAACUUAGAAGCGGAUUCUCUUUCUGUUGUGAUGUAGACAUGUGCUUGAUAAAAUUUGCCAUCGGCAGUGUUCUCUAUCAUUUAUUCAGAUUAGAUAGCUUUAGCAAAUGAUUUACAUUGCUUAUCUGCUUCUUGUACUUAUGUUUUGGAUGAUCAGUUGUUUUGUUUCUGUGUUUCUUUGAUGCAGCUAUAUGCAGUGCAGUUUCAUCUGUUUGUCACAUGUGUUUUAUUUCUUAGUCGGGAAGGCUUCCGGCAAGCAUGCGUGCGCAUGGAAAUGCAAAGGUGAUCCAUCAUGCAUUGCUAUUUCUGUUAUGUAGGAAAUUUUGCUAGAAACUUUUUUCUCUAUUGAGUUAAUUUGGGUUCCUUGCUUCAGUUAGGGAUAGUACAGGUUCCAUCCCUAUGGUGAGAGAUUUGCCAGUUCUUUUAGUUCUCUUUGAUUAGGUUGAUCUGAUCUAUGUUUUUCAACUAAGUGGGUUUAAGGAUGAGUCUUAGGUUUAGACCUGCAAAUGCAAUGUUAGUUUAGAGCUGAUUUUUAUGAUGCUAUGUAUGAACUAUAUUGUUAGUCAAAGGAAGUGUUUGUGAUCAAAGUUGGUUUUGCAUAAGGUGAAAGAACUAUGGAAAAGUCAAAUUGAUUCAAUUAACCCUAGGUUAUAUCUAUCUCUUUGAUUGUAUAGAACAUAGUAUUCCAAAAAUGUAGUUCUUAAUUUAAUUUCCGAACGCUCCUGAUCAAAUCCUUUUAUCUUAUACAUUUUUUCAUUUUAUAGUGAUUGCAAUACAAAAGAUGUUGUGAAGCUAAUGAAAGUAGUGUGGAUGAGUUUCCCGCUUGGAAUAUUUAUUACAAUAGUGGCAUGCUCUUUUGUUCUAUGGUUGCAAGGCCUAAGUUAUUCUAGUUCACUUGGGCAAGCUGUCUUGAUCAAUGGUAAUCUACUUGAGCUUUAUGCAAUUUAUACUCAUUUUUUCUUUUGUCUUUGUGUGACUAUUUAAGGCUUUGCUAAAAAAAACGUAGUUAGAAAGCCCUAAAGAUAAAGCCUAACUUUACUGGAGACAUUGAUUAUUCAUGAUGAGAAAAAGAAUUCCAUAAUCUUAUUUUUGUUCAAUCCACAUGUAAUCAAGCAGCCUGGAAUAACUCUUCAAGCUAUCACACAAUGUAAUCUUUCAAAUUUAAUCAAUUUGACUUGUUAUGUCAGGUCUUGCAUGCAUUUUGGAGCUUUUAGCUGAGCCUUUGUAUAUUCUUUCACAGAACUUGGUCUUGCUUGAAUUAAGAUUGAUGGUUGAGACAGUAGCUACUAUUUCACGAUGCUUGACAAUGUACUUUCUACUUGUCAAGAAAUCUCAAAUGGUAAGAGCUUAUUUGUAUUGUGCUACAGACUUGUCCAAUUUCCUUAUCAUAAGCAUAAAUAGUCAGUGCUUGACAAUGUGCUUGCAUCCAGUUUGAAUUAAAAAUGCAUACACGAAGUCUAUUAUUAAGAUGUCAUUGGUUUUAUUCCAAAAAUGCUUGCUGUUGUUUUAUGACUCAAAUGUUAGUAACAGAUUGCGAGCACAAAAAUAGAUCCUACAUGCAUAUAUAAUAACUAGCUAGCCAGUAUUGAGCUUGUUCUUCCAAGUUGGAUAUAUAGGGUUGCAGAUUUAUUGGUAAUAGUUUCUUGUUUAAGUAUAUGCAUAUAUGAUUAGUAUAUAUAUUUGUGUGUGUGUGUGAUGUGUGUAUGCAAAUAUUGUGGAAUUGUCUUUUCAUUUUUUAUUUCUGUUAACAUAAAAAUAUAUCCGAUUUUAUUUUAUACUAUUUAGUUUUGUAAUAUAUAAAUAAAUAAAAGAUGAUACGAUCAUUAUCUCUUCAAUACCCCAUGUCAAGUUUGGCAUAUUAAUAAUAAGGAUAAAUUAAAAUUUCAUGUAUAAAAUUGGCAUAUCUAAUAUUGUGUAUCACAUAAAAAGAGAUGAGCUUAACUUUAAGUUUGAUAUAUUAAGAUAACCAAUUAAAAUAUCAACUAAUUUAAACUUUUUUAAAAUUAUUAAAAAAUAAAAUUUUUAAUUUUUAAAAUUAGAAUUUAUAUACCCAUUUUGGUCCUCAAAAAAUUUUAAAUCAGACAUUUUAGUCCCCAACUAAAAUUAAUUACUCGAUUGUCCUUAACAAUUAAUUCCGUCAGUCAUUUAGGUCCUUGGCUCCGUCAACUCUAACGGAAGACAAAAUGGUCCCUGAAAACUCUAAUAUGGGACAAAAUGAUCCCCGACAACUCUAACAAGGGACAAAAUGAUCCCUGACCCCUUUAUUCAAAAACGACACUGUUCUUCCUUAAUUUUUAUCAUAUCUCGCAUAACCCUAACAUUCAUACUCUCCUUCUUCACCUUCAUAGUCUUCUUUUUCAUAUUUUCCUUCCUCCUCUUUAGCUCCAAGAUUAAGUCAUGGUGUAAUUGUCACACGUGUCGCACCUACCUCAACAUGUCAUGGACUACACACUUUCUAAAUCUUUGUGACUGAUACAUCCACCUCCUCUGCAUUUCACCCACCAAAAGCAUCUACUUCCACGUCUUUGAUAACAUCACCUCCAACCCCGACAACGUCCACGACAUCCUCAAGACCAAGUUCCACAACUGCUCCAAGGGCACACCUUUCUCCACUCUCCAGCAAGCAAUAUAGAUUGUUGGACAUUAGGAUAUCAUGAGAAGAUUCUCCUUCGACAUCAUAUGCAAAUUCUCAUUUGAAAUAGACAUUGAGUGCUUCAUUCCUUCUUUUCCGGAGUCCAAGUUGGGAGACAGUUUCGACCUCGCAUCCAAGCUAUUACAACGAGCAAUGUUGCCGUUGCCGCUCAUAUGGAAACUGAAGCGAUUAUUGAACAUUGGUUCGGAGAAGAAGCUGAAGAAACCGAUCGUAGUGGUGGACAAUGUGGUCAUGGAGAUGUUAGGGCAGAGGAGGAGGGAGAUGGCAACGACGACGACGAGUCUUAACAAAUCAGACUUGCUGUCUAGAUUUAUGGGAUCCAUCGAAGACGACAAUUAGUUGGGAGACACAAGCAUUAGUUUCCUGAGUAUGAAUUGGUUGAGAGCAAAUUGAGGAUUUUUUUUUCUUGUGAACAUUAAAUUUAUAGAGUGUGCAUUGUGUAGUUUGAAGUUACAGUGUUAGACUGUUAGUGUUAUGCAAGAUAUGAUGGAAAUUGGGAGAGAACAGUGUCGUUUCCAAACAGAAGUGAUCAGGGAUCAUUUUGUCCCCUGUUAGAGUUGUCAGGGACUAUUUUGUCUUCCGUUAGAAUUAACGGAGUAAAGGACCUAAGUGAGUGACGGAGUUAAUUGUUAGGGACCAAUCGAGCAAUUAAUUUUAGUUGGGGACUAAAGUGUCCAGUCUGAAAUUUUUUAAGGACCAAAAUGGGUAUAUACUCUUAAACUUAUAACUGAAACAUGACGUCGACAAUCCGAUCUCAUCAUAGAAUAUGUGCGUGGAGAUUGGCACGUUGCAAUGAUAGUUGUUGGAGCUUCAGAAAAUGUAUGAUGUGCAAAUGGGUUAAAUACGGAUACAAUUGAAAGAUUAUGAUAAUGAGAAUGAAAAUAAUGCUGUUAAAGAAAGUGAACACGUGACUAAUGCCCCUGAACAUGUGACUAGUGCCCCUGAAAUUGUGACAACAAAAAAGAGCAAAAGGAGCAAAAAAAUACCUACAAAACUAAAGGAUUACAUCUUAUAGAAGGGGAGAGAGUGUGCCACUUGCUUCCAUGUGACUUCUGUGGAUUAUUAUUAAGCUUCCACCACAACAAUUGUUAUUACCAUUUAAUUUCUUCAAACACUUGUCCUCCAUCAUUGGUGCUUUCAUUGCUUAUCGCUAUGUCUAAUAAUUCAGCAGCUCGCUUGACUGAUCUUGAAAAUAGAAUGGAAGUGCUCUUAGCAAGGUCAGAGUGCAUUGAACACAUAGAAACCUUACUCUCUAAUCUACAAGUUCAACUUGAGCAUUCUCCUACCUCUGUGCACGGUGCAGUCCCGCAACCUCGCACCCCAUUUCAGGUGUGUAAUGUGAAGUUGGAUUUUCCACGUUUUGAUGGUCGCGAUGUUUUGGGAUGGAUUUUUCGUGCAGAGCAAUUUUUUUAUUAUUACAACACGCCUGAUGAGGAUCGCAUUACAAUUGCUGCGAUUCAUAUGGAUGGCGAUGCCGUUUCUUGGUACCAAAUGAUGCAGUGCGCCAACCCAUUCCAUUCGUGGCCUUCUUUGGCUCGUGUCUUGGAAUCUGAAUUUGGUCCAUCCCCUUUUGAUUGCCCUCGAGCUACAUUAUUCAAGCUAUCUCAAACAACAAAAGUAAAUUCACUUCUCUUGUCAAUCGUAUUUUUGGUCUGGCUCCAGAUGCUAUCCUUGAUUGUUUCAUCAGUGGUCUUCAACAAGAGAUUAAACGGGAUGUCUUUGCAUUUCACCCUAUGACUUUACAACGUGCAGUGUCUCUUGCUCGUCUAUUUGAGGAGAAAUAUGUGCUUGCAAAAUCAACUCAGCAACAUUCUGGUGUCUAUAAUAGAGAUUCUUCAUCAUCUAAACCAAACCAAAGCUCAACAACACCGUUUAGACAAAAUAUGCCCCCUUUGUUACCAGCUCCAACAGUUAAAAGCCCCACUAAUGCACCUAGACAACAACCAUUCAGACGCUUAACUCCAGCGGAAAUUCAACAAAAGAAGGAGAAGGGUCUUUGUUUUAAUUGUGAUGAACACUUCACUUUAAAUCAUCGUUGUCCUAACAAACAUUUUAUGAUUUUGCAAGUAGAGGAAGAUAAAGAGGGAAAUCCUUUAACUGACUUUGUUCUAGAUGGACAACCUGCUGUGGAUGAACAACCAAUGAUUCACCAUUUAUCCUUACAUGCCUUUAAAGGAGGCGAUGGAUGUGGUACAAUCCGUUUUCAGGGAUUUGUGAAAGGUGUUCCAGUACAAGUUCUUAUAGAUGGAGGUAGUGAUGAUACAUUUAUUCAACCUAGAAUUGCUAAGUUUCUUGAAUUGCCAAUCGAGCCAGCUGAGAUGCAAAUCAUGGUGGGUGAUGGUGUUUGUCUUCAUGUAGAGGGUUUAGUCAACAAAGUGAUUCUCAAUGCUCAGUGCCAUACAUUGACAUUUUCAGCUUUCUUGUUACCAGCAGCAGGUGCAGACCUAAUAUUGGGGACAACUUGGUUAGGAACUCUUGAUGACCAUAUUCAUAAUUAUCGCACCAAGACCCUCAAAUUUUACCAUGAAGGUGAAUUGAUUACAUUGCAAGGGGAUCCACAGCAGCUACCUUCUGAGGUUCAGUUUCACCAAUUCAAAAGAAUGUCUCAUACGGGAUCGAUUGUAGAAUUUUAUACCUUGCAAAAUAUUGAUAUGAUGGUGCAAAAUGAGGAAUUCCACCAAUUGCCAGAGAACUUACCUCCAGAACUAGUAGUGCUUCUCAAAUUUUAUUGGCAAAAUUUUCAAACAUCGGUGGGCUUACCUCCUAAUUGAAGCCAUGACCAUAGUAUUCCCUUGUUGGAAGGGGCAAACCCGGUAAAAGUGAGGCCUUAUAGAUAUCCACAUAGCCAAAAGGAGCAGAUUGAAACAAUGGUUAAAGAUAUGCUACAAGAAGGAAUCAUUCGGCCAAGUAAGAGCCCCUUUUCUUCUCUCCUGUACUCCUAGUUAGAAAGAAAGAUGGUUCGUGGCGUUUUUGUACUGAUUAUAAAGCACUAAAUUCUAUUACUAUUAAGGACUCUUUUCCCAUUCCUACUGUUGAUGAAUUAAUUGAUGAAUUGCAUGGUGCAUCUUAUUUUUCAAAGUUGGAUCUUCGGGCUGGUUAUCAUCAAAUCUUGCUCAACCCGGCUGACACUUAUAAAACUGCUUUUAGAACUCAUCAUGGCCAUUAUGAGUGGUUAGUCAUGCCCUUUGGCUUAACCAAUUCCCCUGCGACCUUCCAAAGCUUGAUGAACACUGUUUUCCAGGAUGUGUUGAGGAAAUUUGUCUUGGUUUUCUUUGAUGAUAUAUUGGUUUACAGUCCUACUUGGUCUGCACAUUUAUCUCAUUUGGAGACUGUAUUGCAAAUUCUUCUUAAGGAAAAAUUAUUUGCUAAGUAUUCCAAAUGUUCCUUUGGUGAAAGGCAAGUUGAUUACUUAGGUCACACAAUUAAUGCAGUUGGUGUUGCUAUGGAUAGUUCCAAGGUAGAAGUCGUUCUUUCUUGGCCAAUUCCGAUGAACUUGAAACAAUUGAGGGGUUUUCUUGGGCUUACUGGAUAUUACCGCCGGUUUAUCAAGUCGUAUGCUACAAUUGUAGCUCCACUUACCGAAUUAACAAAGAAGGACAAAUUUCUUUGGUCACAGGUUGCUGAGUCUGCAUUUAAACAGUUGCAACAUGCUCUUACCACUGCUCCUGUACUAGCCUUGCCAGAUUUUCAAAAGCCCUUUUGUUUGGAAACGGAUGCAUCAGGCACUGCUAUUGGUGCUGUUUUAACUCAAGAUGGUCAUCCCAUUACCUAUUUUUCAAAAAAAUUGUCCUCUCGAAUGCAGAAACAAUCUGCAUAUAUUAGGGAGUUGCAUGCAAUUACAGAGGCAUUAUCUAAGUUUCGACAUUACCUACUGGGCCACCGUUUCACUAUCAAAACUGAUCAACGUAGUCUAAAAGAGUUAAUGGAGCAAACACUCCAAACCCCGGAGCAGCAAGCAUGGCUUCCAAAAUUUUUGGGGUAUGACUUCACAAUUCAGAAUAAACCAGGGUGUGAAAAUGUCGCUGCUGAUUCUCUUUCUCGGUCAUUCAACAUGGCAUGGUCAGAACCGGUUCAUACUUGGCUAAAUGAUCUCCGCAAAGCACUUUAUGAGGAUGCAACGACCACCGAGUUGAUGCAGAAAUAUGCGACACAGCCACACAAACAAGAUCCAAUUGUUGUAAGAAAUGGACUGCUGUUUUGGAGAGAACGAUUAUAUAUUCUUACUCCUUUGGCUCCUCGAAUUUUACAUGAGUUUCAUAACUCACCAACAGGUGGUCACUCUGGAAUUGCUAAGACAACAAGUCGCAUCACUUCUCACUUUUAUUGGCUCCACAUGCAUAAAGAUAUUAAGGACUUUGUGCGACAUUGCGUGAUUUGUCAACAAGCAAAGAGCGAAAAUACUCUUCCGGGUGGGCUAUUGCAACCCCUGCCGAUACCACAACAGGUUUGGGAGGAUAUUUCAAUGGAUUUUAUUACAGCCCUUCCACCUUCCAAUGGCUUUACUGUGAUAUUAGUUGUAGUUGAUCGUUUGACAAAAUAUGCUCAUUUUAUGACGUUAAAGGCUGAUUUCUCUAGUAAAAGUGUGGCUGAUUGCUUUGUUGCUAAUAUUGUUAAAUUACAUGGUAUGCCUAAGUCCAUUGUUUCAGAUCGAGACAAAGUAUUCAUUAGUGCCUUUUGGCAACAGCUAUUCAAGUUGUAAGGUACUGUUCUGGCCAUGAGUUCAACUUAUCAUCCUGCCACAGAUGGCCAAAGUGAAGUGGUGAAUAGAUGUGUGGAAAUGUAUCUUUGGCUGUUUCUCUUUUGAUCAUCCUAAAACCUGGAGCAAACACUUGCCAUGGGCUGAAUUUUGGUAUAACACCAAUCAUCAUAGGAGCAUUGGCAUGUCACCUUUUAAGGCAUUGUAUGGUCGUGAACCACCGUGAGUUGCUCGGUAUGAACGCUCACCUAUUGAUCCUCCACAGUUGCAGCAAUUAUUGUCUGAAAGAGACUCACUUUUGGAUAGACUUAAGACUUCGUUGCAGAAAUCACAGGCUUACAUGAAGUCUCAGGCAGAUAAAAGACGUCGAAAUGUUAAUUUCGAGCCCAGGGAGGAAGUGUUGGUUAAGUUGCAACCAUAUCGAUAACACUCAACUGGAUUGAGGAAGAACCAGAAAUUAGGCCUCCGAUAUUUUGGUCUCUUUACAGUGCUUGAAAAGGUGGGACACGUUGCCUAUAAGCUGGAAUUACUUGAGCAUUCGCGGAUUCAUCCUGUUUUUCAUGUUUUGGUCCUCAAGAAGUUUCAUGAUGAUUUAAACUGUCGAUAUCUGCCAUUUCCUCAAGAAACUUUUGAAGCUGGUCCAAUUUUGCAUCCUCUAGAGGUAUUGGCAAAACACACUAUAAUAAAGGGUUAGGAAUCUAUUCCUCAACUCUUGAUCCAAUGGCAAAAUACCCAUAGUUCAGAAGCUAAUNNNNNNNNNNNNNNNNNNNNNNNNNNNNNNNNNNNNNNNNNNNNNNNNNNNNNNNNNNNNNNNNNNNNNNNNNNGCCUUUUUAACCUUCAACUUUGCAGACAAAGUCGAUUUUUAUGGGGAGGGUAAUAAUGUGCAAAUGGGUCAAAUACGGGUACAAUUGGAAGAUUAUGAUAAUGAGAAUAAAAAUAAUACUGUUAAAAAAAGUGAACACGUGACUAAUGCUCCUGACCAUGUGACUAGUGCCCCUGAAAUUGUGACAACAAGAAAGAGCAAAAUGAGCAAAAAAAUACCUACAAAAUUAAAGAAUUACAUCUUAUAAAAAGGAAGAGAGUGUGCCACUUGCUUCCAUGUGACUUCCAUGGAUUAUUAUUAAGCUUCCACCACAACAAUUGUUAUUACCAUUUAAUUUCUUCAAACACUUGUCCUCCAUCAAUGUAAUGUAAGGAGAUGGCGUUCACGUUGCAGAAAUUACUAUGCAAAAAAUUUGCGUUAAACUUAUAUGACGCAUUUUUAAUAUUCUAAUUCUAUUUUUUUAAAUCCUAAUUUUUAAAAAGUUGUUCAAAAUUAGUUUAUAGUAAAGUUUUUACUAAUCAUAAUUUAAUUUAGAUCGGAAUAAGCUAGGAAUGGUAUGUGGUCUCUUAAACAUGUUUGGUUUUGUACUUGUAUCUCUUUUGCUGAACAAAAGUAUUAAUGUUGUUGCAAUCCCAUGCUGAUAGCAAUAUAUGAUUAAUCUGGAAAUAGAUUUCCUCCAUUUUUUUUACUGGACAGAAUAAAGUGUGAUCUCUCACCUUUAAUUCUAUAAGUGGAACUAGAAAUUAAUAAGAGAGAACAAUAAAUGGUGAAAUCAAACACUGGACACUAUUCAAUUUUUUUUCCACCGGAGAGGAUCCACUCUCGAUUAAUCUCUCCACUAUUGCGGCAAUAUUAACCUUUUCUGGCUUUUCAUUGUUUCAUACCAUUGUAAUCAGCAUUUCCUUGUCCCUUUUGCCACAAAUAUUCAUGCGCAUCCCCAGUUGUUAUCUUCAUGCUUAUUAUGGCCUCAAAUUACCCUUCUUUAUAUAUAUGUAUAUUAUAUAUGUUAGAUUUUGCUCACGCAGUUUCAAGUUGAAGGUCUUCUUCCCUCUUUUCUCGGCCGAGGUGAUAAAUAAUUGUAGUCUUGCAAAAGUGACAAUUAUAAGAUCUGGACCACUAAAUUGCAAAUAAAUAAAGUUUACUUAUUCAUCCCUAUACUAAAAGGUGUUUGCUUUAGUACGAUAAUAAAUACGUAUAGAGAUAUUUAAAAUAUAGACAAAUAAUAAUUAAUCAUAUAGAAUUUAUUUUUCACAUCAGCAUAAAUUUAAAUAAUUUAAAAAUAAAACAACAUUGAUUGAUUAUUCAUGUACAAUCAAUAAUAUUUAUACUCUUCCAUAAAUUUCUGAUGAUCAUUUAUACAAAAAAAAAGAGCACAUCUAAAGAACAAAAAAAAAUUCAGAAGAACUGUUCUAGUGUUCUUAUCUUUUCUGAGUUUUUUUACAUCUCUCUCAAAGAAUGUUUCUCUCUCAAUUGUCAGACUAAAACUCUCUCUUCUUUCUCACACUAGCCCACUACAGUCUCUUUCAGUCUCAUUCGAAUCUCGUCUCAGUCACACUCGCCGACGUCUCCACGUGUCGCGGCCUUCCCUGGGAUCCUCGUCGCCGGCGACAGAAGCAACUCGUCGGGUCGUCGUCGCUCGUCGUCUUCUGCUUUCGCGACCUCGCCGUCGCCGAGUCGCCGUAGACCGUAGUCAGUUGGUGAGUCCCUGCAUCGUCGCUUCCCCUAUUCCAUCUUUUCCAGAUUUUCCUUCUCCUUGUAUUUUGAGAUGAUGUUGAAUUGCUAACCAAUUAAUUUACUUUGUUUCUGAUCUAAAUGUUGCUGUAAAUCAUUGUCGGUAAAAUCAUUGUAAUAAUUCUCUUAAAAUUGUUCAUUUUAUAAUAAUUGAUUCAAAGAAGUUGUACCAACUUGAUCUUGAAGAAGAAACAAAUUAUCUUUUGGAAAAGAGGAAGAAGAAGAAGAAGCCCUUUCCCAGUGGAGCUUCCACGGCACCUGCCAAAUUUUUUGAUGCUUUCACAGAAUUCAAUUGCAAUACCGUAUCUAAUGCGUUUGUUUGUUUGUUGUGUUUCAGGUAUUUCUAGAAAUUCUUUGCACAAGAGGCGCACCACUGGUGGAAAGAAGAAGGUUUGUAGUUUGGAGGAAGAAGAGAAAGUAUGCUUUCACUCUCUUUUUCAAUUCUCUGUUUUUCUUAAUUUUUUUUCCGAAGUGCCUUAGUUUCUCUUAGUUUCAAAACCAAAUCCUUCCGAAUUUCAACCCUCGUCUGAAUUUCAACCCAAAUCCUCUGUCCGUGAUCUAGCGAAGUGGGAGAGCGAGAAUAUAAGGAUUCUUUGUGGCGAUGAGGUCGAAGAAGGAAUGGAGAAUGGUGUGCGAGGAAAUGGAGAAAAGCUUGCAAUGAAUGAUGGAAACUACGAAGGAGGAACACUGGUUUUAACAGUGUGUGGCUUUGGUUUCGAUGAUUCCAAUGGAAAGGGGAGAAAACAUCAGCGUCACGGUUUCAAGUUUCAACUAGCUUGGAACAAUAAAAUCCUACCUUUGUUAGAACUCACCAAAUCAUGAAACAGCUUCUGAUUGCGCGAAGGAGGCUGACGGCGAGACUCGAAGCAAGAAGACGACGAGUCCCAAGACCUGCUGCUUCUGCCGCCGGCGACGAAGAGCGCAACGAAGGCGCCCGACUAUGUGCAAGACGAUGACGAGACAGAGAGCAACGGCGACGCCACGGUGAGAAAGAUGAGAGAGCCCGAGCUCCAGGGGGAGAGAGAGAUACGAACAGGAGGGAGGAACUUGAGAAGAUGAAGUGGGUUUCUGUCUUUCUGAAACCAGAUUUCAGAAGGAAUUUUUUAUUUUUUU
rnacentral:lncRNA from 1 species